UUUUUUUUUUUUUUUUGGUUACAAAAAUCGAGCAACCCUAUUUAUAACAUUUGCCAAAUUAAAAAAAAAAAACAAAAACAGAGAGAGUUCUGGUAAACAUUAUGCAACAUAAACGAAGCUCGCUUGUAACUGUAGAAAAUGAAUUUGUUUAAUCAGUGUAUAAAAGAUCUAACUGUUUACAUAAGAAACAAACAUGCAAUAUGCACAAUACUUGAAAACAAAAAUUGCAGGAUAAUGCAUUUAUCUGAAUUACCUAGCACAGUAAAUUGUCUACCGCGCAACCGAAUCUAAGAAUUAUUAUGUAACAUAAUAAUCACUGCCUGAGAUAUCGCACUGGCGGUAAACUUAUUCAAUCAUGCAUGUCUGAAUUAAAGUUAAUCUGAUCCUAAGAUGUGUACCGUCCAGACAAGUUUCUUAAUCAUGCUCCAUUCAUUGAUUGCGGCCGAGCAUAAUCCAUAGCUGACAGGCUGAUACAACAUCCUGAAACAGACACCUUAUGAAUGAUGGAUGAUGGGCUCAUGAGAUUUUGGUAAAUUCUUUCGUGAUCAGUUGUUUUAAUUGGUUGAAACUCGUAUGUAAAAAGAGUCAACAUUGUCAAUCCGUUUGUUGUAUGCGCUCUACCUAAUUGUACCCGUUUUGACUUCUACCCACCACUUGUUUAUCUUCCCUCCUUACCUUUUGCUUUCUUGGUUGGACUUUUUGUAUCUUGAUUGGGAAUUUUGAUGGUUUGUGUAAUAAUCAACUAAACUUCACAGGCUGUGCCUUGAAAGAUAAAUCAAUAAACAGUCAUCUUCUAUGAUGAAGGCGGAUGGGGAAUAAUAGUGGAGUAGUAUGGAGAAUGAGCAAAAGAAGACGAUAACGAAGGGCAAGAAGACAUGGAGUAAAUGCACCAAUCCAUACGGGUCCUUGCAGCCGCUUAUGUACAAAUUCAUUUAAGAAGACAAGGGAAGAUUUGAGCUCGAAGACCAGAGGCGGUGAUAUUCUUGCAGUUUUUUUUGUCUUCUUGGAGCUUCAACACUAGAUUAGGCACUAAAUAAAACCCUCAUCAACAACUUAUUAGUUAUUAAACAGUUCUAUCUUUCAAAAGUAACAUCUUAAUUAUUAGAUGAAGUUCCUCAAUACUUAUUCCCUUCCUCUUAUCUUUCUUUUUCCAAAUCAAAGAGAAAAUUCCUUCAAAGAAUGAAACCGUCUGCCAAGAAUACGGCAGUACAAAUUGCGGCUUCUUUUGUUUUUAACAGCCUGAAAUUGAAUGUGGGGGGAGUCAAGUGGACUGUGAAAUAAUAUGAUACAUCUUGUGGUUCAAAAUACACUAGAAAAUCCAAUAUUACGUGCACGAAAUGUAAACUAGGCCUACUUGAAGUUUUGUAUGGAAGCAUCGCGCACCUUCAAUAUCGAUCAAAGCUGUACAUAGAUGAAGAAUUGCAUUUUGUGUUUUUUUUUUUUAAAUGCUAAAAAUUAUACUAUAUUCCAAAUAAUUCAUAAUUACUUGGCCUACUUAAUUAGAUAGUGAUGGGGACUCUGGUAAUUGCCAUAGAAGAAACUUCGCGUCCGUUCUGGAGCUUUUGUAGAAAAAUUUAUCCUAACAAUUUAAUAGAUAUAAGAUAAAAUUUACAAUUUUGGUUGAGAAAAAAUGACAAACCAAACAAGGUGGAGCAAAAAAAAAAAAAAAAAAAAAGAAAAGGAGUAAUUAGGUCUCCUUCUAGGCUUGCCUUGUAUGUGUGGAGGACACGGAGAAGUCUGGCUUUUUCCAAGUGGUAUUCCAUUCAUUUAUGUGCUAGCGGCGUAUAAUCAAUGGAUUCUUCCUGACUUGAUGUGGUCAGAGUUCAUUGAUGCCCUGGGAGGGAGACCAAUUCUUCCGACUAACCUAAUCGAAAUUGUAAUCUCGUGUUACAUAUUCCAAUUCUGAUCUCUAGGUUAUUUUAUAUUAUGUGUCUUAAUCAUCACUUGCCGAAAUUAAAUCUUUUCCCUAUAGGACUUGCUUACAUCCGCGUUCGUUAAUGGUAGAAGAAAAUGAAAUGACUGAACCAAGUCAAAACUGAAAUGGUAAAAUGAUAAUGACCAGCAGUUUGAUUUGGUUCAAAUUUUUUUUCAAGUACGCCAUGCAUCAAUUCGUUUAUAAUUUCCGCUGCCAACAAAUCCAUUCUUCAGCUUGCUCCAUUAUAGAGAUCAAAUUCCAAGUCUAUGGUGUGCAUCAUUUGCACUUUACAUUUAGUUGUCAAGAUUCCAACUAAAGCAUCUUAAACGACAUACAGAAAUGGUAGGAGGCGAGAUAAUAAUAAUAUCACUUAAUCAGUCAGGUACACGACUGACCUUACCGUUGUAUACUACUCCUUCUCUGUUCCAAUUAUUUGAUCAUGUUUUAGAAAUUUAACUUUUUAAAAAUAGUGAUUUGAUUAUUAUAUUUAUAUUUUUCUUUUCAAUCUUAUCCCACAAAUUCAAAAUUGGGAUUUGAAUAGUAAUAUGCAUAUGACUAAAAAAAAAGAUUAUAUCUGACAACAUGACAAAUAUUUUGGAACAUUUCAAAAUAUAAAGUAUAACACUUUUAAUGGAACUGAGGAAAUACGCAGCAAUAUUUUUGGGGGGGGGGGGGUCCUUGGGCAACAUAUACGGGAGUAUGAUAUGAUUAGGCGAGGGUGAAUUAAAAAUACAUGGAGUUUUGGGAACCAAUAAUUGAGAUAGCAUUUGGUGGUAAUACGUAAUCGCAUCAGUCGGACGAUUUGUCUUGUUGGAACUUGGAAACGCGCAUUCCUUGUUUUCCUCUGAAGCAGCCGAAGAAAUACUUUAAUCGACGUCCCAUAGACCACACGCAAUGCCGAGCCCAUAGCCUACCCGCCCACCGAUUGCUGCCCUUUUUUAUUUAUUUAUUUUUAUUUUUAAAAAAAAGGGGUUGGCAAUUCCAGAAACUUUUAGAGGUGGACUCAUUGUAUGUAUUAUUGUUUACUCUUUCCUCUUCAUUUUCUUGGCUGCAGGACGGCUGCAGUCCGGAUUUAGAGGUUCUUUUGCUCAAGUCUCUGUCUAGUAGGAUUUAGAGGCUAUAUACAUAUAUAUAUAUAUAUAUAUAUAUAUGUAAUAUUAUAAAAAAAAAAAAAAGUUUAUCGCUACAAUAACGCUACUUCCUUCGGGUUAUAUCUAAAUUGGAAAAUGCUUCAUUCAUCCGUGGUUAAAAUUUUGCAAGUGACGAUGGAUGAAAGUAGAAUACUUUGUGGAUGUAGCAAGCAAGAACGUCUCCAAUGUGGUGAAAUCUCUACUGUAUAUAUUGAUCUGGACGACUUCUUUGUGAAACUUAAAAUUAAUGAGCCGGGAUCAAACCUUUCCAUCAUCUGACCAUAACAGAAGGGGCAAAGAUGCAUAAAGAUCCAAGCACAGAAAUUAAUAUGAACAGAAAGAAAGGAAUUUGAAUGGGAAUUGAUUUCGGAAUCUUCGGAAACCUUUUUGCUCUUUGUUUUUAUCCACUGACACAAGCAUUCAAGCAUGUUAACUUGGACUUCGCCGCUCAGCUGACAUGCUUGAUUUGACAUGCAGUUCAAAUCUGUUUAACGUGCGGAGACUAACAAGAAAGUUUCUGCUUACUUGAUUUAGCCAUUGUGGCUUUAUACGCAGGAACAGGAAGGAGAGUUUCUUUAAAGCUCUUUCGAGAAAUAGCCAACAUCUCUUGGGCCGGUUGCCGGUUGGUCACCGAGACCUCUUUUAAGGUUGAGAAUUCGAUACUUGUUUCUCGUCAAUUACUAUGUGUGACUUCUCCCUCUCCUUCCACUUAGAUUAGACUGUAAUAGAUUAUGCAAAUUGUUAUCGUUGCUGGCAAAAAAUAUAUAUAUAUUUUCUUUAAAACUCUUUGAAAUAACAGGAGAUUAUUUGUCCAAAAACAUUUACUUACAUCACCAUUAUAAUUUCUAAUACACCUUUUUAUCUUACAUAUAUCACAUCAUAAAAAGUGUUACAGUAAAAAUAUCUCAAAUAAUUUACGAUCCAAACACACUCAGUGUAUUUAUCUGAUUUAGUGGUUCAUCCCUAAUUUUCAUACGAGUUUUUUUAUACUCUCCCCUCUCUUGUAGUUGCAGGAGCAUGAUAUAUUGUCGUUGUUGCGACGAAAACAAAAAACAAAAAAAAAAAAACAAAAAGUGCCGUCUACUGUGGGAAACAUGAUCUACAACUCGAGGUCAAUGCUCACGCCACUGCUCAAAGAUUUCUAGAAGCCCAUUAGUGCUUCAUUAUUGGAGCUCUACGUUUUCCAUUCCAUAACACACACAAAGAAAUGUCAAAAAGAUCAUGCUAUGGGAAUCUACACAUUCCAAUCCAUCAUGCAUCAGUCGAUUUCAAAGAAUAUAAAAUUUUUAACCAUCUGGUUCUGGAAGGGAAACAAAAAUGAAGCGUACCAUUUGAUUACGUGGAGACAAGAGUAAUGAAAAGUGACAGUUAAUUAUGAUUAUCCAAUCACAGAUAUUUGCUUCUUUAUUGCGGGAGGAGGAGAGGGGUGUUGGGCAUGAAAAGAGUAUUUUAUCAGUUCUGAUUGCUGAGCUCGAAUGCCUCCCCAAAUAUGUUGUCAUGUUUUUUUUUGUCGUACUUUUAUAUACAGAAACGUGAACAGCCGAAAAAAAAUGCUUCUCCUGCACAAAGUAUCUAAUAUUUCUUCUGAUCCAAACGAAAUAUUUUACUUGCUUUCUCCAAUUCACCCUAAAACACGAAAAUUUUCAGCUUCAAGUGCCUACGGUAUCUUCCCAUAAAUUAUUCCACACGAAAAAAAUAAAUACUUGUCGACAUAUUUCCUUAUUAUAUGUCUUUCACUUAUGUAUUCCAAAACAUGCUUACCCAUAUAUCCAUUGGAAUUUUGUCAUGCUGCUACUAAAUGACUAGGGCUGUCAACGGGCCGGGUCCGGGCCGGAAUUCAUUAUUCCGGACCCGGACCCGGACCCGAAUUACUAUGCCGGACCCGGACCCGACCCGUUUACCCGACGGGUCUUUUAUUCUAUGUUCCGGAUCUGGAUCCGGCGGGUCCCGGAUCCGGAUCCGGGUCUACCCGAACAAAUUUAGCAAAAUUUAUAAUUUCUAAUAAAAAUGAAAAAAAAUAUAUUUGUAAACUAAUUUUUAACUAAUGCAAAGAAAAAACCAAAUAAGAAAAGAAAUCAAAUUAACUUUAUUAAAAUACAUCACUCUAAUCAAAUUAUAUUGAUAAAUAUAUAUAUUUAAAAUUAUUAAUUCAUUUAUAUCCGGAUCCGGGUCUAAUACGGGCCGGAAUACUAUAUUCCGUAUCCGACCCGUUUUUUUGUUUGACAAAACGGAUCCGGAUCCGGAUCCGGAAAACGGAAUUAAAUCCCUACCCAUACCCGCAAUAAUUUCACGGAUCCGGUCCGGAUCCGGGUCUAGACCCGACCCGUUGACAGGCCUAUAAAUGACCUUAGGCUUCACCCAACCCCCCACCCCCCCCCCAAAAAAGAAAAGAAAAGAAAAGAAAAGAAAAACUGGAGAUGACUGGUAUGAUAGAUUAAUCAUCAUACUUUAAACUUGUAAAAUUGUGAAACAAGUGCUGAGUAUUAAUCAUCAUACUUUAAACUUGUUAAAAUUUAGUAGUUGGGCCUCGACCUUCUUAAUUGGAUCAACACCACAACUCUUGAGUUGCUCAUCAGUGACCCGAUGUUAGUAUAAUAAAGCACAUUGAAAGUCAAACAUGAAUUUGUUUCGUCUGCCUCUCGAAACUCCCCCAGAGAAACCCAGAAAAUGACCGGCUUAUUUGGCAAAUAAGUUUUUGACCAAAUUUAUCUGCAAUAAGUUUUUUAACAACUUUAGUUACAGUAACAUCAAAAAAAUUUUCAAAAUUUUUAAACCAUACACUUCAAAAUAUUCAAAAAUUUAUACACUUCAAAAAUUUUUCUUACAACUUCUACAAUAAACUACAUUAAAGUUUUAAAUAAAUAUCCAAAACACUCAUUUGUCAAAUGGGGCUGAGACUCAGCAAUAAUUGUACGUAUUAAUUUUUCUUAAAAUAAAAGAAAGCAAUAGCGUUGAGGACCCAGCCUAAACAGAGAUUAACUCUGGAUGGGUUGAGGAGCAGUGCUGGAAGGAUGACUUAAGGAGCAGCCCAAAAGAAAUGAGAGGCGUGAACGAAACGCCUAUGAAUAGGCCUGUCAACGGGCCGGGUCUGGGGCGGAAUUCAUUAUUCGGGACUUGGACCCGGCAUAUCAAAUUGAAUCCGGAUUUGACCCCGUUUAUCCGACGGGUCUUCUACUCUAUGUUCCGGAUCUAGAUCUGACGGAUUUCGGAUCAGGGUCGGGGUCUACCCGAAAAAAUUUAUGAAAAAAAUAUAUUUGUACACUAAUUUCUAACUAACACAAAAAAAAAACCAAAUAAGAAAAUAAAUCAAAUUGACUUUACUCAAAUACAUCACCCUAAUCAAAUUAUAUUGAUAAAUAUACAUAUUUUAAAUUAUUAAUCUAUUUAUAUUCGGAUCCGGGUCUAAUACGGAUCGGAAUACUAUAUUCCGUAUCCGAUCCAUUUUUUUGUUUGACAAAACGAAUCCGGAUUCAGAUCCGAGUAACGGAAUUAAAUUCUUACCCAUACCCGCAAUAAUUUCACGAAUCCGGCUCGGACCCGGCCCGUUGACAGGCCUACCUAUGAAGAGAGCAUGGAGCCAUGGAUCUCAAGCGACAACAUGGGAGCUGCAGAGAGCAUUUCAUGCUUUGGGCUUAUUGAAUUCAAAUUCCCAAUUGUAAACUCUUUCCUUUUUUUUCCCCCCAAAAACUCUUUUAUUCUUUCUUCCGUAGUUCUACAAUGUAACGAAGCAUAUAAAACUUCCACCUUUUUCUAACCUGUCACAUUUCUCCGUGCACAUUGAUUAUGAUUUUCUCCUUAUUUUUUCCAUUAGGAACAUUUGAUUUAUGAUUAAACGUUUAGUUUUUUCUUUUGUUGAUCCGAUGACUCAAAGGGACUGAUAGUUAGCUGUUAAAUAUCAUACUCUACGUCUUUUUUGUUUAAGAUACUAUGUUAAGGGUGCAAAACAAAUCAAAUCAAUCCCGAGCAUGCUCGAAAUCAAGCUCAACUUGGCAGUGUUUGAAUUAUCGAACUCGACUCGAUCAAGCAUUAAUUUAUAUGAUCGAGUUCAAUGCUUUAUGAGGUGCUUAAGAUUGACUCGUUUGGUAUCGAGCAAGCUCGAGUCUAUAUAUGUAAUUUAUACUAUACAAUUUUAUAAUACAUAUCGUUCAAUAAGACUUGUCGAACUCUCAAACUUAACAUAUCAAUGCUCGAUACUCGAUUUGUUUGAUUAAUUGAGUAGUUUGAAAUCGACUCGAAUGCAAUCAAAAUCAACGAUUUAGUUGCUUGCAAGUUACUCGGUUGGUUUUGUAGUCCUAUUGUAGGUCGCUUAUAAUGAGUUUACAUCUUUGUUACUUGUGAGAGGAUGAACUUCAAUCUCUCCAUAGCUCAUGAUGCUUGUCAAUGCAAUUUUAACUUAUUUAUUCAAGAAGAUACUUUUCUCUGCUUCAUUUUGAUUCUUUAAUCUCAAAGCAAAUGUUGCAAUGGAGAAUUACAAUUAUAAUUGAUUUAUUUCACUAAUAAGAAAUUUAAUAUUUAAAACUUUUAAUUGAGUAAAAUCUUGGAUUAAGGAGCACAAAAAUUAAGAAGAGUUGUGUCAAAUGUACAAUUUGUGAGUUGUGAUUCGUGUGCAUAGUAUCAAUUACGGCCUUCAUUUAAAAAUAAAGGAAAAAAGGUUUUGACUAGUAAUAAAUUACAGAUUACUGAAACAAAAAACCUAACAACAAAAGAUAUUCUUGCAGUUUUCAAAAAAAAAAAAAAAAAAGAAAGAACGAUCGAAAAGAUAGAAAGACACGAAGACAUCGCGCACACUUUACCACGAGAAAGACACGAAGACAUCGCACACCGUUUACCACGACAAGUCUUAUUCGAAUUUUCGGACCGUUGGGCCCUUUUGAGACAGGAUAACGGUUACUGAAAUGUUUAAAAAAAUGAAACUCCCACUUUUUCUCUUUCCAUCGGACCACCGCAGUAGCCUUCAAAUCUUUCUUACGCAUAAAACCACAAAUAACUGGCGAGAAAGAAGAAGACACCUGAACCGCAUCAAUGGGCUGUGUCUCUUCCAAGUUGUUCAGGAAAGAUCUCAGUCAAGAAAAUUUGGUUCAGAAAGCAGAUAAUAUCUCCAACCAUGUGGUCUCUCUCACGUCGAGUACUUAUGGUGUCCUUAGACUUGACAAAGAAAACCAACAGCAACAGCAGCAGGGGGAACAUCUUCAUCUUCAACAACAAUUGCAAUCCAUCAAAAAAUGUGGGAUUGAUUUGAAGAAGCCUUCACCUCCUCGACAAGAGCCUGAAGUUAUCAAUGCGUGGGAGAUAAUGCAAGGUCUGGAAGAAGAAGUACCUCUAUCGAAUUUGAUCCCGGACAAGAAAAGCCCAAAAUCGCGACUUCUUCUACGUGGGUUCGGGGAUUUGGAUGCGCAAGAAGCCCACUAAAGUUCUUGAAUCAAAUGGCAUCCCCUAGAAAACUGAAGAAAUUUGGAGGAAAAGAGAACGCUACCCCGAAAUCGGUCUUCAAAGCAUGUAAUAUGCAGGGGAGUUCACAAAAAGCGUCUCCAAUGCUGAGAGUUCCAAGAAAAGACAGUCCUAAUGAUGCCAAAUGUGAGAGUCUGAGGAUUGAUUCAGGGGUAGUUUUGUCGCGGAGGAGGAGUUUAGGCCCGCUGUUUGAUCCAGAACUCGUGGCAUCAUUCGAGAAAGAGUUGUCCGAAGAGAAAGAGCAAAUCAAGAAGAUGGUUUCAGGAACGCCCACCGCGGUAAAGAAGAGGAAUUCCCAAGACUCGGUGUCUAUUCUCGAAAAUUUCGAGGAAAAAUGCCCCCCGGGUGGUGAAAAAGCGGUGGUCCUGUAUACGACCACGCUGAGGGGUAUAAGGAAGACAUUUGAGGAUUGCAACACAGCCAGAUCAGUGAUCGAGUCGCAUCAGGUUCAGAUGUUUGAGCGCGAUGUGUCGAUGCAUUCAGGAUUCAAGGAUGAGUUGAGGGGAUUAAUGGGCACAAAAGAAGUGAAAGUUCCCUUGGUUUUUGUCAAGGGAAGGUUGAUUGGUGGGGCUGACGAGAUAGUGAAGUUGGAGGAAGAUGGUAAGUUAGGUACUCUCUUCAGCGGGAUCCCGAAGGCAGUUGCUAUCUGCAAUGGGUGCGCAGGGGUCAGGUUUGUAAUGUGCAUAGAUUGCAAUGGUAGUUGCAAAGUGUUGGAUGAGAAAGGGAAGAAGACUGUCAAGUGCAAGGAGUGCAAUGAGAAUGGGUUGAUUCAAUGUCCAUUCUGCUCUUGAGAUUAACUUAAAAACUUCAUUCCAGUGUUAUUGCUAACCUCCAAUAUUUGUUUUUAAUGAUUUGUGCUAAUUAUCGUUGGUUCUCCCAUGUGUGGAGAAUGAGGUUUGUUGGAGUUCUUGGUCCUCUUGGACGUGGAAAGAACUCUAACGGCCUCUGUCAGUAGUUGGGGGAUCCUUAAAAAAGUGUGUUUGCUUUUUGGACAGCACCCCACCAAUCCCCCCCCACCCCCCACCCCCCCAAAAAAAUUUUUAGAGUAGUAUGUAAUUUUGUCUUGGUUGCAAAUUGCAAUGCUUGUACCCUGGAUUUUCAGGGCCUGGGAUUUAAAAUUAUGUGUAUUGAUUUGGAUCAAUUUGUGUGCAAAUGGCAAUGAAAUUUCCUCCUAUGUGUUGUGUUUUUUAAUUAGUCGACUGAGCUCGCAUUUCCAGUCGAGUUGACUGCGCCUCACCCUUGCAGACUGUCGGUCGAUCCCGCGAUUUGCUCAAUAGGGACAGUACAAGGUUUGGGGUAGACCAAACCAGAUCUGCCGUCUAUUUCAGGGCUUUGACCAUCAUGAUUUAAACCUGGCUGGGCAAGAAGGUUUUCGUAACUUUCUUCUACCCUUAUUCUGCUCCUUUGCAAGUGGUGAUCUGUCCAGUUUUGUGUUGGGGCUAGCUUGUACAUGUUCUCUGCUAUUUUAAGAUUUCUGGAUAACUUAGUGGCUCGAUAAAUCAUUUUCUUCCCCUCAAUUCCUUUUUCUGUCAUUUUCUUUCCUACUAAUUGCUAAAUAACUUCACAACUUCUGAGAAAGAAAAACUCUUUUUUGUUUCCCUGAUUUGGCAUUUCUUCCCGUCUUGCAUGGUUGCAAAAUAAUGGGCUUUUCUUGAAUUUGAUUUCGGCUUGAAGUUCGCCGUGAUAGAUUCCCCUUCGUAGACGAAUUGGGCAGUUGAUUGGAGUUCAUGGCUGCAUGGACAGAAAGGAGGGCCUCUAGUAUUACACUCAAAGCAGCCCGUUGGCCCAACCACAAUGAAAGGUUUUCAGGGGCCCAGAAUGUUUAAACCAUCUUCUUGGCAGGUAGCCCAAGGUUUUGAAAGUAUAAUUCUCUGACGUGUGAGUAUAACGUAGCCCGCUGUUGGGGAAAAUGGCAGGAUUCCAGCACUGAACGUUUUGCAUUAAAGAGUGAUUAGAGAAAUGAGAAAUGUCCGACAAAGUCUUGGUUAUUAUUUGCCUCUUAACAACCGAUCCAGCGGUUCAACAGGAUGGAGCCUCAAAAUUCCAACGCAGAGCCGCGAUUUUGAACGUAAUUUGGCUAACAAGCUUAGCGAUGAACUAUUGAACUCCAUCUUUGGGCUAGUGUUCCCAUACGGACGGACAUUAAAGGACCGGCCCUACCGGUUUAACUGGUCAUGACACUAACAAACUUAGAAAAUCAUUUGAACCAACCAAAUUCAAUCAAGAACCAAUUGACUUGUCAAAAUUGAUAUUAAAAAAAAAAAGGAAUUUUUGAAUAUGUUUUGUAAUAACCAACGGCCAUUUGGACUGUUAGUCACCUGGAAGGUCAAGAGUUCAAAUCUUAUCUCUCGUCGAUGUGCCAUUAUACAUGGAUUCUUCUAAAUUCAUACAGGUGUGCAGUAUACUCAUCUAGUCCAAUGAUGGUUCAGUCCCGUCGAUUUCUCUAAACCCUAUUGGACCUCUCCUCCCGUAAGGUAGGUUAGAAUAAGAGUAUGAAUAGAAGUAGAUUAGGCUAAUUAUUACCGUCUGAUAAAAAAAAUUAUAUAUAUAUUUGUAAUAAAUAAAAAAUAAAGAAAAGAAAUACAUUUAAAGAGGAUUCAAUUAGUUGAACCAGUUUGAACCACAAAACUAGAAACUCAUUCGAUUCACUUAACAAUUUGGAUUUAAAAAUAUUACUUACUAAGAAUUGAAUUCAUAAUAUUUAUGGACAAGUCUUGCUUCUUUUAGAUUUUACAUUUCAUAACAUUUAUGGGCAUACUUUUUUAAUGAGAGGGAGGAGGUAUUUCAAAUAAUGCGUUGUCCAGACGUAAACAACUGUGGAAAAAGAUAAUUUGAGGUGGUAAAACACUACUCAUGUAGUCGUCGUAUAUAAAAAGUGGCGAGUCUUAAGAAGUGUCUACACUGCUGGCUUCACUCAGUAAAUUCCCCUUCUCAACGCCCCAUCCUCCCCCGCGACAUUUCUACAAAAGUGCCCCCGGGGGGCCAACCGGCUGCCCGCCUUCGAUUCCCUUCUCCUCCAGAAACCAGAUCAUUUCUGCCCCUUACUCCUGAUGGCUGGAAGAAAAAGGAGGAAGUUGAAAAAGUGAGUUUGAUCCUUUUCAGUAAAUCAUUUUUUCGGUUGAAUUUUGAGUGUGAUUAUUUGAUUUAUGCAAAUGUGGUGUUUAUCUCGCCUAGGAUGGAUGUCAAACCCGCCAAUUCUUUUAGAUGUGGUUAAGUACUUAUCAUUUUAUUCAACUCCUGGUAUCUCAUUGCUGUCGAUAGUACAACCUUUUUUUUUUUAAUUUUAUAACAUUUUUUUAAAGGUUUACUCGAGAGACCGAAUGAAUCCUUUUAUAUCUCGUGUUACGCAUCAGAACGUUUACGUCUCUUGGGAAAUUGAAGAUUGCUUGAUGCAUGUGUUUGUGUUUGUGGGGCUAUAUCCUAGCAAUUUUGCAUUUAGAAAAUGAGGAUGAGGUUCCUCUGAAACUACUAUGGAAAAUGGAGAUGAUUAGAGAUCACAACGUAAUAAUUUGUGGUUAAUGCGCUUUGGCUACCCAAACAUAUAUUAAUGUGCAUUAUCACUUAAUCAAAUGGAUUGAUUGAUGCAGUCAGGGACUUCUGGUCAUUGAUGGUCACAUAGAAUUUGGCUUCAUUUAAACUUUUGCAGGCUUGUCAAUUUUUUUUUUCAGGGGAUUGAUCAAAUCACAUGUCAUGCAGUUUCAAACUCCAGCAUAGUUGUUGUAGGGUUAUAUUUGGAUUAUAGCGUAAGAUAUAUGACAUUCCUACGUUGUAUCCAUUGUGGACAUCUAUUAGUGACUAUGGCUUUGUUGGCCUUCUCUUCUUGCUUGUUGUCUUUGCGAUUAUUCUUUGAGAACUACUGGCGUUAACUUUUCUCAAUUUCAUACUUGUAGAUUACCUGAAGAAAGUAGAGAUAAAGAGAAUAAGCCAGAUGCACAGCAGACCUGGCUGGAGCUUCCAGAGGACCUUUUGGAAAUGGUUAUCUCACGGUUAACCUUGAGCGAAAAUAUCCGUGCUUCUGUUGUUUGUAAACAGUGGCUUGCUGUUGCCAUCUCAGUGCGAGUGGUGAAUAAACCUCCCUGGUUGAUGUUCUUUCCAAAAUAUGGGGACUUGGUUGAGUUCUAUGAUCCUUUGCACCGUACAUUCUAUACUCUUGAGUUGCCUGAGUUAGUUGGCUCCAAGGUUUGUUAUUCGAAAGAUGGUUGGUUGCUUAUAUACAAGACUAGUACCAAUCGUCUGAUGUUUGUUAACCCCUAUACAAGGGAGUUGAUUAAGUUGCCUAAACUUGAAUUGACAUACCAAAUAGUUGCCUUCUCUGCUGCUCCAACGUCUUCUUGCUGUAUUGUGUUUACUAUUAAGCACAUCAGCCCCACCAUUAUUGCCAUUAGUACCUGCCAUCCUAGAGCAGCUGAAUGGACAACCAUCAAUUACAGAAACCGUUUGCCAUUUGUUAGCAGCAUUUGGAAUAAGCUGGUCUUCUGUGGUGGAAAGUUUUAUUGUCUGAGCCUCACUGGUUGGUUGGGGGUUUAUGAUCCAGAAAAGCGCAGUUGGGUUGUUCAUGUACUGCCCCCUCCCAAAUGCCCUGAGAAUUUUUUCGUAAAAAAUUGGUGGAAGAGCAAAUUUAUGGCUGAGCACAAUGGGGAAAUUUUUGUUAUAUACACUUCAUCUGAAGUUAACCCUGUGAUGUAUAAAUUAGACCAAGCAAUUAAAGAAUGGGUGGAGGUGAAAACUUUAGGUGGUCUAUCUAUCUUUGCAAGUUUCUUGUCCUCCCAUGCAAAGAUAGAUCUUCUUGGGACUAUGAGAAAUAGUGUUUACUUUUCUAAGGUUCGCUUUUAUGGAAAGCAUUGCGUGUCAUACUCCCUUGACGAUAAUAGAUACUACCCCAGAAAGCAGUUCUAUGAUUGGGGGGAAGAAGAUCCUUUUGGAAGCAUUUGGAUUGAACCACCUGAAGAUCAUUCAAGCUUUGCUUAGAAAGGCCAGUGGAAUAGGUAACUGUUUUUCUUGUUAUAGAAGUUUUGACACCUUUUUUAUCCCCCUUGACCAUUUUACUUAAUCUGUGUGGGGUGCCAUUGAUGAUACUUGUUAUACAGGUGACUUAUGCAUGGUUUCUUAAUCUUAGCAAACUCCUAGUAUUCUUUCUGAUACAGUAUACAUAAUCACAAAGCUUGAGUCUCUUCAAGUAGUAUUAUUGCAAGUCGAAUAGUAUUAGGGACUUGGGCACUGUUGCUUAUGAUGGUCUAUCUUGCUUCUGUUCUGCAAAUUAUGAAUGUAUCUGGUUUUCCUCUUUUGUUGAGUUGCUGGUUCAUUUGAGUUAGAUCUAUCACAUCUUAUUUGUGAUAGAAAUUGUAUACAUGGUUGGUUGUUCAAGUCUUUCAGUGAUCUCUUUUGAAAAAUUGUGCGGCAGGCGCGAACUUUCAUUUAAAAAAAAAAAAAAAAAACCAAAGUUAGUUUUUGAGUAAAUGAGAGCAAAUGGCCGUUGCCCCCAUUGGUAACUUGAAGCAAAUUGUGGACUGCUGCUGGUGAAAACUUGGAGGACCUGGGAAGUAGGAAGUGGAACUUAUCUUAGCAAAAGAAAGCCUAUUCUGCCUUUGUUUUUCAUUAAUUUGGUUGACUUUGGAUGGUGCAGUAUUCAAUUUAGGUAAGCAACCACAAUGCUGUGGGCAGAAACAUGAAAGUAACAAGUGUUUCUGGUAAUGCCAAUUAUAGAGCAGGACUACCUUUUCCCCUUAGACCACCAUUAAGCCACUACUGGGAAUCAGAGGAGCAAAUUCCGGUCCUCCGUGAACCAACUAGUUGGACAUGAGUUUGUUUUUAGGGUCUUAACUCCUCCCCCACCUCUUUGAGUAUCUGUUUUCUCCCCUUUCCCGAAGAAUGAUUGCACUUGCUUAUAAAAGAAGUUUGCUUUAACAUCAGAAUCUUCGAGUAUUAUGGAAAUAUGAUUGGACUUUGAUUCUGAUAUGCGAACUACAUAUCUUUGUUACUCUCCAGUAAUUAGUGGUGUGAUAUAGAUAAUCACGGUCUAGUGAUGCUCUGUACGCAUUAUAAACACCUGAAUAGCUUGAUUAUCUCAAUUUGAUAACUGCAGUUGAAAAUUUCAAAUUCCUUUUGUUUUACCUUGUCAGGAGCUCACUCUUUCAUUUACAUGAAAGCUCAAGCAAGAUAAUGCUGCUAAUAAGUAUCGUGUAGUUUGAGAUUGUUGAAUUGAAGGGCAGUGCAGCACCUCUUUUCUCUUUGUCAAUUAAUAACGCAUGAAGAUAUGAGUUGUACUUUGGGUUUAUUCUAGGAUGCAGAAUUUUGAGGUGUUUAGUUUAUUUAAUAGAUCAAUAAACUACAAUGAGGAGUGUAGAUUUUUCUUUAGACACUUGAGUGAUUUUAUUUAUAUUUUUACUGGCAAAAAUGCAUUUUGCAAUUAUUGAAUUUUUUUUUUUAUGGUGUUUCUCCCCUUUACUUAUAAUAACUUCACGGGCAUGUCAUGAACAUGAGAAUUUAGCAUCUCCGGAAGUUGUAUUUGAAGCAUGUAUCUUUGGUAUUGCUGAGUAAUCGUGCACUAAUGCAAAUUUGUAAUUGAUUAAUCAGGCCAUAUAGCAUUCAUAACUAAAAUCUCACCUUGCGAGGUCUUUGGGUAGCGAACCCCAUUGAGCCAUUAAGGAUGAGCUUUUAGCCGCCUGAAGAGUGAAGAGGAGUCCCCGACAGAACGAAACCCGGGCUUUGCAGUGAAUCAUCCUUGGCCCUUCUGUCAGUACUGCUAGCUAUGCCUUUCCAUGUUUCCAGCAUCUCACUCUCUGCCCUGAUCAAGUAUUAAUUUAGAAGCGGGCCAAAAUACCCCUUGAUUUAAAAACCCAUGAUAUCCGAAUUGAUUCGAAAAAUAUGAUGCUUGUUUCACAGUAUUUGAUCAUAUCAAAAAAAAAAAAAGGGGCUGGGUACUCGCUUAUACACGAGACGGGCUAGGACCAGAGGAUUCAAAACUCACAGGAACUCAUCCACCCGGCAUCCGCAUAUAUACAUGCUGGUCAAGCUAGCCAAAUGGUGCGCCGGAUGGAUGCCCAAGCCGCGCCCACCUCAAAUUCAAUUGCACGUACUUAAUUUUAUGCCAACGCCAAACCAUGAUUGAUCAUAUGUACGAUUUCGGUUCCAAAUGGAUGCCCGUUCUUGACAUAGAUCACAUCUUUAAUUUGAAAGGAAAAUGGGAAACAUAACUUUAUGCUCGUGGUAGGUUAGCUUUUCAAUGUAAACAUUCCCUAAAAUCUGUAGAACUUAGCCAGGCAGCUUCCUCUAAUCGUUCACAAGUGAAACUGCAAAUUAAAAGGCCCGGAAAAAUACGAAAUUUUGAAAAAGAAGAUGCAACUUGCCAUUUCAGUUGUUUUCCCUAUAUGUCACAUUGAUGUACAAACUAUCUCCAUGUUCAAAUGUCAGACAAAUACAUUUCAAAUGAGCAUCCCACGCUCGAGACCACCCUAGAGAAGUCAAACAGUGAAUUCAUUCCUCAGUAAGGGUUGUAUCGGCUACGUCCACGGCCUCUAUCACCACCACGUCUUCCACCACUUGAACCUGCUGUUGUCCCACUGCGGCCACCUCGUUGCAAUGGUUGUGGUGUCUGAGGUUGUGGCUGUUGCCUAGAGAGAGAGAGAGAGAGAGUGAGAGAAAGAUUCAUUUCGAACUUUCUGCAUUAAAGCACCUUGUGAUAGAAAGCUUGGAAUUCAAACUGCCGAACAAUUGUUCAACUAAAGAAUUUCAGCCUAUUCUCUGAACCUUAGCAAAUACAGUUCCAAAAUUGGAACCAUGAUCAAGCCUUUUACAGUAGUCAAAAAGAAUAGGAUGUGGCAAGGCUUAGCACAUGACAGAAAAACUAGUACCAAAACCGCGUAAAAUCACCAUGGCAAACCAAACUAAUUUCACAGGAUUCAGAGCUAGAUCAGUAGAUGACAAUAAUACAAGCACACAUAUCAGCAGAAAAUCCAUUAUGUGGAACUGCAUCAACCGUCUUCAAACUUUACAUGUAUGAUAAUCCUACUCAACUAAUACUUCUAUUCUUCCAUGUUAUGUACAUCUUCAAAACAACAUUUAGGAAUCCUCUGGAACUCAGGUCUAGAAUUUUUGCCAUGAAGUACUAAAGCUUCUUAGGAACCACUACGAUAAGAAAACAGGGAUUUAGACUUCCAAGUUCAAAUAACACUGAAGCGUUUACUUACAGGACAUAUCCAAUCCUUCCAUCAGGCAAAAGCAUCGGUAUCAUUGCCAAGCCAGGAGGCGCAGCUCCCGUUCCAUAGACCAGCGGCUGCAAAAAAAAAAAAAAAAAGGAAAGGAUCUCAACGAACAGAAUCAUUGCCUGCUAUACUCAUGCUUAACCCAGGUUUUGAUAGAGAAUAUUGUCUAAGAACUCUUGCACCAUAAUCUCGUCUCAGUAAUUACAUGCAAUUUGUAUUCAGGAAAACAGAAAAUUGUGAAUUAACUUUUCAAGCAAGGCACUAUUCCCCAAAUAGUUAUAGAUCAUAUUGAGGAAAUAAAAUGUAAGUUAGUAACUAACAUGCAAUAGAAUACUAUUUAUUUGGCCCAAAAACUGUAUCAAGUCAAAACAAAAGCUGUAUUAUGCAAUUCAUGGAGUAUGUAAUCUCAUAAUCAUUGUCAGUGCAGAAGUGAUUAACAGACAAACAAGCAAAGGCACACUACUUGACCAAAAAAAAAAAAAAAAGAGAAGCGCAUGCUCACAUACAUGAGAUGCAGUAGCUUGUCUACCAAACAUGCAUAAUUAAUUUUUCUUGCCCAACCAGCAUAUAAUUUAAGUAUGUUCUUCUAUGUGGAUUUUCAAAAAGAGGUAAAAAAAAAAAGGAAAAAUUUAUUGCGCACUCAGUAAUAAAAUAAGCCUGCUCUUGAACUGAAAAAUGGAAAUAAGCAUGCCAAGCUAAUAUAGCACACAAUGAGAACAAGAUAGAGCACAAAGACCCAACUGAACCCAAAAGAAAAAGUGGAGAUAGUUAACUAUGUGAAAAAGAAAACCUUUUGACCUACAAAUUGAAUAUUAUCUUACUUGGGUUAAACCUCCACUAACAGCACCAUAGUUGGCACCAACCAAGCCAUAUCCAAGAGGAGAGGGAUAGGAAGGAAGAACAGCUGCCUUCUGUGAAUUUGGUUGUCCAGAAGACUUUUGAUCUGCCUGUGGCUUAGCAAGCGAGCACUCCAAAACUUGACCUAUCAAGUAAGUCCAGUAUUAACCAACCAAAAUCAACUUGACAAGAAGUUAUCAUAAAGAAAGCAUUGUACAUGAAGUAAUUUUCAAACAACAGUUUACCAUCUAUCACAUAUUUCUCUGUAUUCUUCAAAGCCUUCAUUGCACUAGAUCUUUCAGCAAAGUGAACAAAGCCAAAUCUGCUAUUUUCAUGCCCUGGUUUUGCAGGAGGAAGAACCACCUUUGUGAUCUUCCCAUGAUGCUCAAACGACUUUCUCAGCUGAUCCUGGGUAACAUUUUUGGGUAGAUUCUUCACAUAGACGGCUUUAACCUACAAAUGAGGAAAAAAGUUACCACAUAAGUGUAGUUAACAAAACUGAACAAACUCCCGAAAUGCAAUUUUAAGUAACACAGUAGACGUUUUUUCACAAAAAUAUGGUGCAGUCUCUAGAUGCAGGAUAUAGCAGGUGUUUUUCUUCUACGCAUUGAAGAAAGAUGUGCCUAUCUAGCAUAAUGAGCAACUUCAAUAAGUUGAAAUCCAUAAAAAUCACUUAAAAUAGAAAAUCCCCUUUUAGAGGAUGUAAUAUAUGUAUCCAACUAAAUCAGACUACCACCUAUACAUUUAUUAAGCAAAUACAUUCAACAGAUAUCAAUGGAAAGGCAGGGUCAAAGAAGUUCAAAAGAGCAUUAAUAUCUGAUGCAUAUUGAAGGCUUCUUAUGAAACAGAGUAAGAAAUUACCCAUAGCAGGAUGAACUUUAUAAUCAUUCUUGGGGCUAGAAGAUUCAUUGCCAAUGAAAGUAUCAGUAAAAUUGUUCAAUUUAAGAGAAUUACCAGAGAGGAAGCCGAAGAUUCUACAUUCUUUGGGUCUGCCCAGCUCACUGUUGGGGCAUUUUCAUCAAGUUUAAAGCUCGAAUCAGACAUCUUUUCUCUGGAAUAUUCAGCACAUGCAUGAUUGUAAUACUCAAUGAAUGCAAAACCACGAUUUCGGCUAGAGUUUUGUGGGUCCUGUAACAGCACCUCUUAAUUGAUCAAAACAUACACAACCCAACAGAAAAGUUUAUCUAUCCAUGCCUUGCUGGGAGAAAGGGGUGUUCCAUGGAGGGAGGAGACUAAUAGAUAACAAGCAAAAGAAAUGGGUAUCACUCUUUUUAAGGAAGAAAGGGUAUGCUAACUCAAUAAAAACAGUAUGACAAAAAAUGCAGUGGGACGACCCAGACCUUUAGUAGCUCCACAGUAAUAACGCCAGGCCCAACCUUGGUUACAACCUUUUUCAUAUCUUCCUCCCCCCAGCUUCUUGGAACGUUACCAAUGAACAACCGGUGCUUUUCCUGAGAUGUAGAACACUUCAGCCUUCUUCCCUAAAAAUACAGAUUCCAUUGUAAACCAGAAAAGUCAGAAAAUGUUGAAUGGUACGGAUGUGAAAAAAAUGGAAAUCAUAGCAGGAUAAUUCAGAAGAGAAGAAGUUCUCUUGGCAAAGGAAAGGGUUUCAAGACUGCCCUACUUACCUUAAGUUCAGUAUUAUUAAGAGACUUGAUGGCCUCAGAUGCCAUUUCCUUCGUCCUGAAAGUGACAAAUGCAUAUCCUUUGUUCUCAUUUGAGCCCUUUCCUUUCAUUAUCCUGAUCUGCAAUUGGCAUGCAAAACCUCUGCAGGAUAAGAAGUCAAAUAGACAUUGCACACAAGAAGGACGGAAAUGAUUUACCUCUGUAACUUCCCCUAUGGAUCCGCAAAAACUCCCAAGGUCAUCUUCAGAAACAUCUUGAGUAAAGCCACCGAGGUAAACCUCUGAACCAUGAGGAGGAAGUGCAAGAAGUUGAUUGUGUUUUUUUUUCACUUCCUCUUCUAUCUCAGCAUCUUUCAUGUUCUCAUCAUUUAUGACAUUCUGCUCACCACCACCACUGACAUCAUGUUCCUCUGUUUCUUCUUCCUCUUCUUCUACUUCCUCCUCUUCCUCAUCCUCAUCUACCUCUUCCACUUCUUCCUCUUCUACUUCUACCUCUUCAUCUUCUUCCACUUCUACUUCUUCUUCUACUUCUUCUUCUACUUCUUCAUACUCAACUUCCUCCUCCACUGCCUCGUCAUUAUCAUUUUCUCCAUCCGUGUUCACAUGAUCUUCGAACUCAACAAGCUUGUUAGUUUCGCCUGGUUUAGUAGCUGCAGCACUUGACCUCGUCCUUGGCAUCUUAUAGAUCUUAAAAGAUAAGCUUGUGCUGGAACUCUGAUGGGAGCAAAGAAGCCAGAAACAUUUGCAAAAGAAAGAAGACAAGCACGGAUAGAUGGAAACAAAAUGAGAGGCCAAAAGAAGCCUCUGAGUAAGAUUGUUAAUUGAAUUUCUGCCAUUAGGGGUGUGGCUACAAGGAGUUUCAAUUCGAACAAUUUUCAAUUAAGGGCUGAUAGAAUACAGUAAUACAAAAAAAGGCAGGUAAAGGAGAGUUCCAGAGAUGAUCGACAGGAAGAUGAUACUCAACAGGUAGAGAAAAAUGAAUACAUGAAUGAAUGAAGACGUUCGAUCCCCGAAUAGUCAUGUCCAGAUUUUAAUCAAAACCAUCAAUAGGACCAAUGUAAUUCACAAAAGAUUAGAAAGGAAAAAGAGAAAUCAACAAAGGGAUGUGAAAGAGAUCUACAAGCAAUAAAAUUGGAGAAAUAUCUCCAAAUGGGGAAAAGAAUGCUAAACUAGUUUGAUCAUCAAGAAACCGUCAAUCCCCAUUUAAAAAAUCAAUCCCACAACCAGAAUUCAUCCCCAGAACAACAGUAAGAUUCCUGCAGUAAAUGUACAUUCCGUAAAUGUACAAUCAAAAACAAACUAAAAUGCAUGUUGCAGAACCAUUUCUCUACAUAUAAACCAUCAAAGAAAAGGGCAUGAAUUGUUACAGACAUAGCAAAUCUAUAAAUCUGUCUCGUCUGCUAAUAGAGAAAGUACCCAAUCCUGCAGCUAUCAUGCUUUUCCCUAGGUUUUCUGAACAAUAUAUGAAAAUUUGCGGGUCAUGGAUCUCGUCAAAUAACUUCUUUCGACUAAUUAGCUUGAGACAUUUCAGACGAUAUAGUGAAUGCAGUAAAUUCUUUGAGGUAGGCAAAAAGGCAAAUAUGAAAAAACAUACAAGGACUUUCUUCUCUAAUGUACUAGAAUCCAUUCAGCUCAGAAACCCACAUUAUAAAGUUAAACGUCCACCCAAUUUAUCGCCAGACCCCCCGCACCCACACCCACCCCAAAAAAAGAAACACCCCAACCCCAAAAAAAAAAAAAAGCGGAAAAUAUCAAAAUGGCGAAAACGAGGGAUUGCAUAAAAGAAAGACAGGAAAAAAAAAUUACAGGUAGAGAUCAAUCUAACAAUAAAAGAAAAGGCAUAUACAAAUGCAGAAAAAUAUUGAAAAAUGCGUCUGUGAAUUUAGGCGUGUAGUUGAAGAAAUUACCAACGAAUCUUGAAUCUUUCGAACUCUCUAAAGAAAUUCCCGGAUUUUGGAUUUGGAAUUAUCUUGGCAACCCAGUAAAUUGAAUGGCUCCCCUGCGGUGAUGAUAAUUAGGGUUUUGACAAUUUGGGAUAUUUUCUUCCCCUCGAAGUCUUAAGGUUAAGGAGCAAUGGUACAUGACCCGUUUGCCCUCGAGAUUGGGAUACUUGAAUUUUUAUUCGAGAGAGCUUUUCCCUGAUGCGCCCAUCAUUUUGCCCCAGCUUUCUCGCGCCACAAACCGGCACUUGGACAGCCCUGACCAGUUGGGGUAUCGAUCCUAAAUCACGACGGUGAUUGGCUUUAGGCCCAUUUGAUUUGAGUGGCGCAAACAAUCCUAAAAGCCCAUCCAUCACUUUUCUGAGUCAGAUCAGAUUUGCCUAAAGAAAACGAAGACUAAUGAAUGGUUUUUUUUUUUUUUUUUGACAAAUCAGAGGCUUACCAGGUUAAAAUUUUGGGCCUUAAUACUUUUCAGCUUUAUUAUUCUUGAUAUAGUUGAUUGGUAAAUUUUAUGAAUCCCAUUUAAUUGGUACGUAGAGAGAGAGAGAAAUAAUUUUAUAAGUCGGAGUCUACUCUAACAAUCAUCUGCGGGGAUAUUUUUUCAAGAUCUGGUUCAUUCUUGGCUGAUGCAUGUUUGAGGUGUUGACGGAGUAGAGUACCAUAUUUGGUGAAAAUGAGGGGGCUAAAGCAAAAUAAUAAACACACGUUCAUAUCCAUAUGUUGCCAUAGAACACCGUUGUUUUAAAGAACACCGUUGUUCUUCUACCUCACUUUGAACCAAAGCAUACUUCCACAUUUUAACCAGAGCUGUUCAAUUUAGCUAAUUUUCAAUUACUAAUGAAACUUCGUUUACAAUUUCUGAACAGUUUGAUCAAGAACCAUCUUCAUUUCAGCAGCCUUGCACAAGCUAACACAAAAUUUGCCGCCUAGAAUAUCCUGACCGUACUCCUUUAGGAAGUGUAGUUUGUUUGCAUGGAGGCACUCAAAUAGGAACAAUCGCAAUGCCAGUUCCUUACACACUAUAUCCUUCAAAUGAUUACAUCAGAAUUUAAACGAAGCAUGACCGCAGAACAAUGAACGAGUUCCCCAAUAGAGAUCUAGCUUUUAGAUUUAGGAAAGUAAAUCCAUCAGGAAGCACAAAUAAAACUAAAGCACUAGCAACUGCAGGGUGUAAAAAGUGAGCAUCCACCAAAAAUAACGCAAAACGAAGGUACUCAAAGGAUGGCCCUGGAUUCCAGCCUGAGCUCUCAAAUAAAUAAGUGUUUAUACUCCCCGUUUGCAAGCUGACAAAUAUGGUUGUAGCCUUGGGUAUCUGGAAAAACCAAAAAGAUAAGCAAAUCAGAAACAUGAAAGCAAAAGCUUUGAAGAAGCCUUCACCUCCUCGACAAGAGCCUGAAGUUAUCAAUGCGUGGGAGAUAAUGCAAGGUCUGGAAGAAGAAGUACCUCUAUCGAAUUUGAUCCCGGACAAGAAAAGCCCAAAAUCGCGACUUCUUCUACGUGGGUUCGGGGAUUUGGAUGCAAGAAGCCCACUAAAGUUCUUGAAUCAAAUGGCAUCCCCUAGAAAACUGAAGAAAUUUGGAGGAAAAGAGAACGCUACCCCGAAAACGGUCUUCAAAGCAUGUAAUUUGCAGGGGAGUUCACAAAAAGCGUCUCCAAUGCUGAGAGUUCCAAGAAAAGACAGUCCUAAUGAUGCCAAAUGUGAGAGUCUGAGGAUUGAUUCAGGGGUAGUUUUGUCGCGGAGGAGGAGUUUAGGCCCGCUGUUUGAUCCAGAACUCGUGGCAUCAUUCGAGAAAGAGUUGUCCGAAGAGAAAGAGCAAAUCAAGAAGAUGGUUUCAGGAACGCCCACCGCGGUAAAGAAGAGGAAUUCCCAAGACUCGGUGUCUAUUCUCGAAAAUUUCGAGGAAAAAUGCCCCCCGGGUGGUGAAAAAGCGGUGGUCCUGUAUACGACCACGCUGAGGGGUAUAAGGAAGACAUUUGAGGAUUGCAACACAGCCAGAUCAGUGAUCGAGUCGCAUCAGGUUCAGAUGUUUGAGCGCGAUGUGUCGAUGCAUUCAGGAUUCAAGGAUGAGUUGAGGGGAUUAAUGGGCACAAAAGAAGUGAAAGUUCCCUUGGUUUUUGUCAAGGGAAGGUUGAUUGGUGGGGCUGACGAGAUAGUGAAGUUGGAGGAAGAUGGUAAGUUAGGUACUCUCUUCAGCGGGAUCCCGAAGGCAGUUGCUAUCUGCAAUGGGUGCGCAGGGGUCAGGUUUGUAAUGUGCAUAGAUUGCAAUGGUAGUUGCAAAGUGUUGGAUGAGAAAGGGAAGAAGACUGUCAAGUGCAAGGAGUGCAAUGAGAAUGGGUUGAUUCAAUGUCCAUUCUGCUCUUGAGAUUAACUUAAAAACUUCAUUCCAGUGUUAUUGCUAACCUCCAAUAUUUGUUUUUAAUGAUUUGUGCUAAUUAUCGUUGGUUCUCCCAUGUGUGGAGAAUGAGGUUUGUUGGAGUUCUUGGUCCUCUUGGACGUGGAAAGAACUCUAACGGCCUCUGUCAGUAGUUGGGGGAUCCUUAAAAAAGUGUGUUUGCUUUUUGGACAGCACCCCACCAAUCCCCCCCACCCCACCCCCCCAAAAAAAUUUUUAGAGUAGUAUGUAAUUUUGUCUUGGUUGCAAAUUGCAAUGCUUGUACCCUGGAUUUUCAGGGCCUGGGAUUUAAAAUUAUGUGUAUUGAUUUGGAUCAAUUUGUGUGCAAAUGGCAAUGAAAUUUCCUCCUAUGUGUUGUGUUUUUUAAUUAGUCGACUGAGCUCGCAUUUCCAGUCGAGUUGACUGCGCCUCACCCUUGCAGACUGUCGGUCGAUCCCGCGAUUUGCUCAAUAGGGACAGUACAAGGUUUGGGGUAGACCAAACCAGAUCUGCCGUCUAUUUCAGGGCUUUGACCAUCAUGAUUUAAACCUGGCUGGGCAAGAAGGUUUUCGUAACUUUCUUCUACCCUUAUUCUGCUCCUUUGCAAGUGGUGAUCUGUCCAGUUUUGUGUUGGGGCUAGCUUGUACAUGUUCUCUGCUAUUUUAAGAUUUCUGGAUAACUUAGUGGCUCGAUAAAUCAUUUUCUUCCCCUCAAUUCCUUUUUCUGUCAUUUUCUUUCCUACUAAUUGCUAAAUAACUUCACAACUUCUGAGAAAGAAAAACUCUUUUUUGUUUCCCUGAUUUGGCAUUUCUUCCCGUCUUGCAUGGUUGCAAAAUAAUGGGCUUUUCUUGAAUUUGAUUUCGGCUUGAAGUUCGCCGUGAUAGAUUCCCCUUCGUAGACGAAUUGGGCAGUUGAUUGGAGUUCAUGGCUGCAUGGACAGAAAGGAGGGCCUCUAGUAUUACACUCAAAGCAGCCCGUUGGCCCAACCACAAUGAAAGGUUUUCAGGGGCCCAGAAUGUUUAAACCAUCUUCUUGGCAGGUAGCCCAAGGUUUUGAAAGUAUAAUUCUCUGACGUGUGAGUAUAACGUAGCCCGCUGUUGGGGAAAAUGGCAGGAUUCCAGCACUGAACGUUUUGCAUUAAAGAGUGAUUAGAGAAAUGAGAAAUGUCCGACAAAGUCUUGGUUAUUAUUUGCCUCUUAACAACCGAUCCAGCGGUUCAACAGGAUGGAGCCUCAAAAUUCCAACGCAGAGCCGCGAUUUUGAACGUAAUUUGGCUAACAAGCUUAGCGAUGAACUAUUGAACUCCAUCUUUGGGCUAGUGUUCCCAUACGGACGGACAUUAAAGGACCGGCCCUACCGGUUUAACUGGUCAUGACACUAACAAACUUAGAAAAUCAUUUGAACCAACCAAAUUCAAUCAAGAACCAAUUGACUUGUCAAAAUUGAUAUUAAAAAAAAAAAGGAAUUUUUGAAUAUGUUUUGUAAUAACCAACGGCCAUUUGGACUGUUAGUCACCUGGAAGGUCAAGAGUUCAAAUCUUAUCUCUCGUCGAUGUGCCAUUAUACAUGGAUUCUUCUAAAUUCAUACAGGUGUGCAGUAUACUCAUCUAGUCCAAUGAUGGUUCAGUCCCGUCGAUUUCUCUAAACCCUAUUGGACCUCUCCUCCCGUAAGGUAGGUUAGAAUAAGAGUAUGAAUAGAAGUAGAUUAGGCUAAUUAUUACCGUCUGAUAAAAAAAUUAUAUAUAUAUUUGUAAUAAAUAAAAAAUAAAAAAGAAAUACAUUUAAAGAGGAUUCAAUUAGUUGAACCAGUUUGAACCACAAAACUAGAAACUCAUUCGAUUCACUUAACAAUUUGGAUUUAAAAAUAUUACUUACUAAGAAUUGAAUUCAUAAUAUUUAUGGACAAGUCUUGCUUCUUUUAGAUUUUACAUUUCAUAACAUUUAUGGGCAUACUUUUUUAAUGAGAGGGAGGAGGUAUUUCAAAUAAUGCGUUGUCCAGACGUAAACAACUGUGGAAAAAGAUAAUUUGAGGUGGUAAAACACUACUCAUGUAGUCGUCGUAUAAAAAGUGGCGAGUCUUAAGAAGUGUCUACACUGCUGGCUUCACUCAGUAAAUUCCCCUUCUCAACGCCCCAUCCUCCCCCGCGACAUUUCUACAAAAGUGCCCCCGGGGGGCCAACCGGCUGCCCGCCUUCGAUUCCCUUCUCCUCCAGAAACCAGAUCAUUUCUGCCCCUUACUCCUGAUGGCUGGAAGAAAAAGGAGGAAGUUGAAAAAGUGAGUUUGAUCCUUUUCAGUAAAUCAUUUUUUCGGUUGAAUUUUGAGUGUGAUUAUUUGAUUUAUGCAAAUGUGGUGUUUAUCUCGCCUAGGAUGGAUGAAUUCACAGAAAGGAUUUUUGCCAUAUUCGAGCGUGUUUCCUCUGAUAAUUUUGGGGGGGGGGAGGCGGGGGUUUAGUUGGAGGAAUUGGGUGUCUUUGGUGGGUUCUGAGUAUGUAAUACCUGUGUCAAACCCGCCAAUUCUUUUAGAUGUGGUUAAGUACUUAUCAUUUUAUUCAACUCCUGGUAUCUCAUUGCUGUCGAUAGUACAACCUUUUUUUUUAUAACAUUUUUUUAAAGGUUUACUCGAGAGACCGAAUGAAUCCUUUUAUAUCUCGUGUUACGCAUCAGAACGUUUACGUCUCUUGGGAAAUUGAAGAUUGCUUGAUGCAUGUGUUUGUGUUUGUGGGGCUAUAUCCUAGCAAUUUUGCAUUUAGAAAAUGAGGAUGAGGUUCCUCUGAAACUACUAUGGAAAAUGGAGAUGAUUAGAGAUCACAACGUAAUAAUUUGUGGUUAAUGCGCUUUGGCUACCCAAACAUAUAUUAAUGCGCAUUAUCACUUAAUCAAAUGGAUUGAUUGAUGCAGUCAGGGACUUCUGGUCAUUGAUGGUCACAUAGAAUUUGGCUUCAUUUAAACUUUUGCAGGCUUGUCAAUUUUUUUUUUCAGGGGAUUGAUCAAAUCACAUGUCAUGCAGUUUCAAACUCCAGCAUAGUUGUUGUAGGGUUAUAUUUGGAUUAUAGCGUAAGAUAUAUGACAUUCCUACGUUGUAUCCAUUGUGGACAUCUAUUAGUGACUAUGGCUUUGUUGGCCUUCUCUUCUUGCUUGUUGUCUUUGCGAUUAUUCUUUGAGAACUACUGGCGUUAACUUUUCUCAAUUUCAUACUUGUAGAUUACCUGAAGAAAGUAGAGAUAAAGAGAAUAAGCCAGAUGCACAGCAGACCUGGCUGGAGCUUCCAGAGGACCUUUUGGAAAUGGUUAUCUCACGGUUAACCUUGAGCGAAAAUAUCCGUGCUUCUGUUGUUUGUAAACAGUGGCUUGCUGUUGCCAUCUCAGUGCGAGUGGUGAAUAAACCUCCCUGGUUGAUGUUCUUUCCAAAAUAUGGGGACUUGGUUGAGUUCUAUGAUCCUUUGCACCGUACAUUCUAUACUCUUGAGUUGCCUGAGUUAGUUGGCUCCAAGGUUUGUUAUUCGAAAGAUGGUUGGUUGCUUAUAUACAAGACUAGUACCAAUCGUCUGAUGUUUGUUAACCCCUAUACAAGGGAGUUGAUUAAGUUGCCUAAACUUGAAUUGACAUACCAAAUAGUUGCCUUCUCUGCUGCUCCAACGUCUUCUUGCUGUAUUGUGUUUACUAUUAAGCACAUCAGCCCCACCAUUAUUGCCAUUAGUACCUGCCAUCCUAGAGCAGCUGAAUGGACAACCAUCAAUUACAGAAACCGUUUGCCAUUUGUUAGCAGCAUUUGGAAUAAGCUGGUCUUCUGUGGUGGAAAGUUUUAUUGUCUGAGCCUCACUGGUUGGUUGGGGGUUUAUGAUCCAGAAAAGCGCAGUUGGGUUGUUCAUGUACUGCCCCCUCCCAAAUGCCCUGAGAAUUUUUUCGUAAAAAAUUGGUGGAAGAGCAAAUUUAUGGCUGAGCACAAUGGGGAAAUUUUUGUUAUAUACACUUCAUCUGAAGUUAACCCUGUGAUGUAUAAAUUAGACCAAGCAAUUAAAGAAUGGGUGGAGGUGAAAACUUUAGGUGGUCUAUCUAUCUUUGCAAGUUUCUUGUCCUCCCAUGCAAAGAUAGAUCUUCUUGGGACUAUGAGAAAUAGUGUUUACUUUUCUAAGGUUCGCUUUUAUGGAAAGCAUUGCGUGUCAUACUCCCUUGACGAUAAUAGAUACUACCCCAGAAAGCAGUUCUAUGAUUGGGGGAAGAAGAUCCUUUUGGAAGCAUUUGGAUUGAACCACCUGAAGAUCAUUCAAGCUUUGCUUAGAAAGGCCAGUGGAAUAGGUAACUGUUUUUCUUGUUAUAGAAGUUUUGACACCUUUUUUAUCCCCCUUGACCAUUUUACUUAAUCUGUGUGGGGUGCCAUUGAUGAUACUUGUUAUACAGGUGACUUAUGCAUGGUUUCUUAAUCUUAGCAAACUCCUAGUAUUCUUUCUGAUACAGUAUACAUAAUCACAAAGCUUGAGUCUCUUCAAGUAGUAUUAUUGCAAGUCGAAUAGUAUUAGGGACUUGGGCACUGUUGCUUAUGAUGGUCUAUCUUGCUUCUGUUCUGCAAAUUAUGAAUGUAUCUGGUUUUCCUCUUUUGUUGAGUUGCUGUUCAUUUGAGUUAGAUCUAUCACAUCUUAUUUGUGAUAGAAAUUGUAUACAUGGUUGGUUGUUCAAGUCUUUCAGUGAUCUCUUUUGAAAAAUUGUGCGGCAGGCGCGAACUUUCAUUUAAAAAAAAAAAAAAACCAAAGUUAGUUUUUGAGUAAAUGAGAGCAAAUGGCCGUUGCCCCCAUUGGUAACUUGAAGCAAAUUGUGGACUGCUGCUGUGAAAACUUGGAGGACCUGGGAAGUAGGAAGUGGAACUUAUCUUAGCAAAAGAAAGCCUAUUCUGCCUUUGUUUUUCAUUAAUUUGGUUGACUUUGGAUGGUGCAGUAUUCAAUUUAGGUAAGCAACCACAAUGCUGUGGGCAGAAACAUGAAAGUAACAAGUGUUUCUGGUAAUGCCAAUUAUAGAGCAGGACUACCUUUUCCCCUUAGACCACCAUUAAGCCACUACUGGGAAUCAGAGGAGCAAAUUCCGGUCCUCCGUGAACCAACUAGUUGGACAUGAGUUUGUUUUUAGGUCUUAACUCCUCCCCCACCUCUUUGAGUAUCUGUUUUCUCCCCUUUCCCGAAGAAUGAUUGCACUUGCUUAUAAAAGAAGUUUGCUUUAACAUCAGAAUCUUCGAGUAUUAUGGAAAUAUGAUUGGACUUUGAUUCUGAUAUGCGAACUACAUAUCUUUGUUACUCUCCAGUAAUUAGUGGUGUGAUAUAGAUAAUCACGGUCUAGUGAUGCUCUGUACGCAUUAUAAACACCUGAAUAGCUUGAUUAUCUCAAUUUGAUAACUGCAGUUGAAAAUUUCAAAUUCCUUUUGUUUUACCUUGUCAGGAGCUCACUCUUUCAUUUACAUGAAAGCUCAAGCAAGAUAAUGCUGCUAAUAAGUAUCGUGUAGUUUGAGAUUGUUGAAUUGAAGGGCAGUGCAGCACCUCUUUCUCUUUGUCAAUUAAUAACGCAUGAAGAUAUGAGUUGUACUUUGGGUUUAUUCUAGGAUGCAGAAUUUUGAGGUGUUUAGUUUAUUUAAUAGAUCAAUAAACUACAAUGAGGAGUGUAGAUUUUUCUUUAGACACUUGAGUGAUUUUAUUUAUAUUUUUACUGGCAAAAAUGCAUUUUGCAAUUAUUGAAUUUUUUUUUUAUGGUGUUUCUCCCCUUUACUUAUAAUAACUUCACGGGCAUGUCAUGAACAUGAGAAUUUAGCAUCUCCGGAAGUUGUAUUUGAAGCAUGUAUCUUUGGUAUUGCUGAGUAAUCGUGCACUAAUGCAAAUUGUAAUUGAUUAAUCAGGCCAUAUAGCAUUCAUAACUAAAAUCUCACUUGCGAGUCUUUGGGUAGCGAACCCCAUUGAGCCAUUAAGGAUGAGCUUUUAGCCGCCUGAAGAGUGAAGAGGAGUCCCCGACAGAACGAAACCCGGGCUUUGCAGUGAAUCAUCCUUGGCCCUUCUGUCAGUACUGCUAGCUAUGCCUUUCCAUGUUUCCAGCAUCUCACUCUCUGCCCUGAUCAAGUAUUAAUUUAGAAGCGGGCCAAAAUACCCCUUGAUUUAAAAACCAUGAUAUCCGAAUUGAUUCGAAAAAUAUGAUGCUUGUUUCACAGUAUUUGAUCAUAUCAAAAAAAAAAAAAGGGGCUGGGUACUCGCUUAUACACGAGACGGGCUAGGACCAGAGGAUUCAAAACUCACAGGAACUCAUCCACCCGGCAUCCGCAUAUAUACAUGCUGGUCAAGCUAGCCAAAUGGUGCGCCGGAUGGGAUGCCCAAGCCGCGCCCACCUCAAUUCAAUUGCACGUACUUAAUUUUAUGCCAACGCCAAACCAUGAUUGAUCAUAUGUACGAUUUCGGUUCCAAAUGGAUGCCCGUUCUUGACAUAGAUCACAUCUUUAAUUUGAAAGGAAAAUGGGAAACAUAACUUUAUGCUCGUGGUAGGUAGCUUUUCAAUGUAAACAUUCCCUAAAAUCUGUAGAACUUAGCCAGGCAGCUUCCUCUAAUCGUUCACAAGUGAAACUGCAAAUUAAAAGGCCCGGAAAAAUACGAAAUUUUGAAAAAGAAGAUGCAACUUGCCAUUUCAGUUGUUUUCCCUAUAUGUCACAUUGAUGUACAAACUAUCUCCAUGUUCAAAUGUCAGACAAAUACAUUUCAAAUGAGCAUCCCACGCUCGAGACCACCUAGAGAAGUCAAACAGUGAAUUCAUUCCUCAGUAAGGGUUGUAUCGGCUACGUCCACGGCCUCUAUCACCACCACGUCUUCCACCACUUGAACCUGCUGUUGUCCCACUGCGGCCACCUCUUUGCAAUGGUUGUGGUGUCUGAGGUUGUGGCUGUUGCCUAGAGAGAGAGAGAGAGAGAGUGAGAGAAAGAUUCAUUUCGAACUUUCUGCAUUAAAGCACCUUGUGAUAGAAAGCUUGGAAUUCAAACUGCCGAACAAUUGUUCAACUAAAGAAUUUCAGCCUAUUCUCUGAACCUUAGCAAAUACAGUUCCAAAAUUGGAACCAUGAUCAAGCCUUUUACAGUAGUCAAAAAGAAUAGGAUGUGGCAAGGCUUAGCACAUGACAGAAAAACUAGUACCAAAACCGCGUAAAAUCACCAUGGCAAACCAAACUAAUUUCACAGGAUUCAGAGCUAGAUCAGUAGAUGACAAUAAUACAAGCACACAUAUCAGCAGAAAAUCCAUUAUGUGGAACUGCAUCAACCGUCUUCAAACUUUACAUGUAUGAUAAUCCUACUCAACUAAUACUUCUAUUCUUCCAUGUUAUGUACAUCUUCAAAACAACAUUUAGGAAUCCUCUGAACUCAGGUCUAGAAUUUUUGCCAUGAAGUACUAAAGCUUCUUAGGAACCACUACGAUAAGAAAACAGGGAUUUAGACUUCCAAGUUCAAAUAACACUGAAGCGUUUACUUACAGGACAUAUCCAAUCCUUCCAUCAGGCAAAAGCAUCGGUAUCAUUGCCAAGCCAGGAGGCGCAGCUCCCGUUCCAUAGACCAGCGGCUGCAAAAAAAAAAAAAAAGGAAAGGAUCUCAACGAACAGAAUCAUUGCCUGCUAUACUCAUGCUUAACCCAGGUUUUGAUAGAGAAUAUUGUCUAAGAACUCUUGCACCAUAAUCUUGUCUCAGUAAUUACAUGCAAUUUGUAUUCAGGAAAACAGAAAAUUGUGAAUUAACUUUUCAAGCAAGGCACUAUUCCCCAAAUAGUUAUAGAUCAUAUUGAGGAAAUAAAAUGUAAGUUAGUAACUAACAUGCAAUAGAUACUAUUUAUUUGGCCCAAAAACUGUAUCAAGUCAAAACAAAAGCUGUAUUAUGCAAUUCAUGGAGUAUGUAAUCUCAUAAUCAUUGUCAGUGCAGAAGUGAUUAACAGACAAACAAGCAAAGGCACACUACUUGACCAAAAAAAAAAAAAGAGAAGCGCAUGCUCACAUACAUGAGAUGCAGUAGCUUGUCUACCAAACAUGCAUAAUUAAUUUUUCUUGCCCAACCAGCAUAUAAUUUAAGUAUGUUCUUCUAUGUGGAUUUUCAAAAAGAGGUAAAAAAAAAAGGAAAAAUUUAUUGCGCACUCAGUAAUAAAAUAAGCCUGCUCUUGAACUGAAAAAUGGAAAUAAGCAUGCCAAGCUAAUAUAGCACACAAUGAGAACAAGAUAGAGCACAAAGACCCAACUGAACCCAAAAGAAAAAGUGGAGAUAGUUAACUAUGUGAAAAAGAAAACCUUUGACCUACAAAUUGAAUAUUAUCUUACUUGGGUUAAACCUCCACUAACAGCACCAUAGUUGCACCAACCAAGCCAUAUCCAAGAGGAGAGGGAUAGGAAGGAAGAACAGCUGCCUUCUGUGAAUUUGGUUGUCCAGAAGACUUUUGAUCUGCCUGUGGCUUAGCAAGCGAGCACUCCAAAACUUGACCUAUCAAGUAAGUCCAGUAUUAACCAACCAAAACAACUUGACAAGAAGUUAUCAUAAAGAAAGCAUUGUACAUGAAGUAAUUUUCAAACAACAGUUUACCAUCUAUCAUAUUUCUCUGUAUUCUUCAAAGCCUUCAUUGCACUAGAUCUUUCAGCAAAGUGAACAAAGCCAAAUCUGCUAUUUUCAUGCCCUGGUUUUGCAGGAGGAAGAACCACCUUUGUGAUCUUCCCAUGAUGCUCAAACGACUUUCUCAGCUGAUCCUGGGUAACAUUUUUGGGUAGAUUCUUCACAUAGACGGCUUUAACCUACAAAUGAGGAAAAAAGUUACCACAUAAGUGUAGUUAACAAAACUGAACAAACUCCCGAAAUGCAAUUUUAAGUAACACAGUAGACGUUUUUUCACAAAAAUAUGGUGCAGUCUCUAGAUGCAGGAUAUAGCAGGUGUUUUUCUUCUACGCAUUGAAGAAAGAUGUGCCUAUCUAGCAUAAUGAGCAACUUCAAUAAGUUGAAAUCCAUAAAAAUCACUUAAAAUAGAAAAUCCCCUUUUAGAGGAUGUAAUAUAUGUAUCCAACUAAAUCAGACUACCACCUAUACAUUUAUUAAGCAAAUACAUUCAACAGAUAUCAAUGGAAAGGCAGGGUCAAAGAAGUUCAAAAGAGCAUUAAUAUCUGAUGCAUAUUGAAGGCUUCUUAUGAAACAGAGUAAGAAAUUACCCAUAGCAGGAUGAACUUUAUAAUCAUUCUUGGGGCUAGAAGAUUCAUUGCCAAUGAAAGUAUCAGUAAAAUUGUUCAAUUUAAGAGAAUUACCAGAGAGGAAGCCGAAGAUUCUACAUUCUUUGGGUCUGCCCAGCUCACUGUUGGGGCAUUUUCAUCAAGUUUAAAGCUCGAAUCAGACAUCUUUUCUCUGGAAUAUUCAGCACAUGCAUGAUUGUAAUACUCAAUGAAUGCAAAACCACGAUUUCGGCUAGAGUUUUGUGGGUCCUGUAACAGCACCUCUUAAUUGAUCAAAACAUACACAACCCAACAGAAAAGUUUAUCUAUCCAUGCCUUGCUGGGAGAAAGGGGUGUUCCAUGGAGGGAGAGAGACUAAUAGAUAACAAGCAAAAGAAAUGGGUAUCACUCUUUUUAAGGAAGAAAGGGUAUGCUAACUCAAUAAAAACAGUAUGACAAAAAUGCAGUGGGACGACCCAGACCUUUAGUAGCUCCACAGUAAUAACCAGGCCCAACCUUGGUUACAACCUUUUUCAUAUCUUCCUCCCCCCAGCUUCUUGGAACGUUACCAAUGAACAACCGGUGCUUUUCCUGAGAUGUAGAACACUUCAGCCUUCUUCCCUAAAAAUACAGAUUCCAUUGUAAACCAGAAAAGUCAGAAAAUGUUGAAUGGUACGGAUGUGAAAAAAAUGGAAAUCAUAGCAGGAUAAUUCAGAAGAGAAGAAGUUCUCUUGGCAAAGGAAAGGGUUUCAAGACUGCCCUACUUACCUUAAGUUCAGUAUUAUUAAGAGACUUGAUGGCCUCAGAUGCCAUUUCCUUCGUCCUGAAAGUGACAAAUGCAUAUCCUUUGUUCUCAUUUGAGCCCUUUCCUUUCAUUAUCCUGAUCUGCAAUUGGCAUGCAAAACCUCUGCAGGAUAAGAAGUCAAAUAGACAUUGCACACAAGAAGGACGGAAAUGAUUUACCUCUGUAACUUCCCCUAUGGAUCCGCAAAAACCCAAGGUCAUCUUCAGAAACAUCUUGAGUAAAGCCACCGAGGUAAACCUCUGAACCAUGAGGAGGAAGUGCAAGAAGUUGAUUGUGUUUUUUUUUCACUUCCUCUUCUAUCUCAGCAUCUUUCAUGUUCUCAUCAUUUAUGACAUUCUGCUCACCACCACCACUGACAUCAUGUUCCUCUGUUUCUUCUUCCUCUUCUUCUACUUCCUCCUCUUCCUCAUCCUCAUCUACCUCUUCCACUUCUUCCUCUUCUACUUCUACCUCUUCAUCUUCUUCCACUUCUACUUCUUCUUCUACUUCUUCUUCUACUUCUUCAUACUCAACUUCCUCCUCCACUGCCUCGUCAUUAUCAUUUUCUCCAUCCGUGUUCACAUGAUCUUCGAACUCAACAAGCUUGUUAGUUUCGCCUGGUUUAGUAGCUGCAGCACUUGACCUCGUCCUUGGCAUCUUAUAGAUCUUAAAAGAUAAGCUUGUGCUGGAACUCUGAUGGGAGCAAAGAAGCCAGAAACAUUUGCAAAAGAAAGAAGACAAGCACGGAUAGAUGGAAACAAAAUGAGAGGCCAAAAGAAGCCUCUGAGUAAGAUUGUUAAUUGAAUUUCUGCCAUUAGGGGUGUGGCUACAAGGAGUUUCAAUUCGAACAAUUUUCAAUUAAGGGCUGAUAGAAUACAGUAAUACAAAAAAAGGCAGGUAAAGGAGAGUUCCAGAGAUGAUCGACAGGAAGAUGAUACUCAACAGGUAGAGAAAAAUGAAUACAUGAAUGAAUGAAGACGUUCGAUCCCGAAUAGUCAUGUCCAGAUUUUAAUCAAAACCAUCAAUAGGACCAAUGUAAUUCACAAAAGAUUAGAAAGGAAAAAGAGAAAUCAACAAAGGGAUGUGAAAGAGAUCUACAAGCAAUAAAAUUGGAGAAAUAUCUCCAAAUGGGGAAAAGAAUGCUAAACUAGUUUGAUCAUCAAGAAACCGUCAAUCCCCAUUUAAAAAAUCAAUCCCACAACCAGAAUUCAUCCCCAGAACAACAGUAAGAUUCCUGCAGUAAAUGUACAUUCCGUAAAUGUACAAUCAAAAACAAACUAAAAUGCAUGUUGCAGAACCAUUUCUCUACAUAUAAACCAUCAAAGAAAAGGGCAUGAAUUGUUACAGACAUAGCAAAUCUAUAAAUCUGUCUCGUCUGCUAAUAGAGAAAGUACCCAAUCCUGCAGCUAUCAUGCUUUUCCCUAGGUUUUCUGAACAAUAUAUGAAAAUUUGCGGGUCAUGGAUCUCGUCAAAUAACUUCUUUCGACUAAUUAGCUUGAGACAUUUCAGACGAUAUAGUGAAUGCAGUAAAUUCUUUGAGGUAGGCAAAAAGGCAAAUAUGAAAAAACAUACAAGGACUUUCUUCUCUAAUGUACUAGAAUCCAUUCAGCUCAGAAACCCACAUUAUAAAGUUAAACGUCCACCCAAUUUAUCGCCAGACCCCCGCACCCACACCCACCCCAAAAAAGAAACACCCCAACCCCAAAAAAAAAAAAAAGCGGAAAAUAUCAAAAUGGCGAAAACGAGGGAUUGCAUAAAAGAAAGACAGGAAAAAAAAAUUACAGGUAGAGAUCAAUCUAACAAUAAAAGAAAAGGCAUAUACAAAUGCAGAAAAAUAUUGAAAAAUGCGUCUGUGAAUUUAGGCGUGUAGUUGAAGAAAUUACCAACGAAUCUUGAAUCUUUCGAACUCUCUAAAGAAAUUCCCGGAUUUUGGAUUUGGAAUUAUCUUGGCAACCCAGUAAAUUGAAUGGCUCCCCUGCGGUGAUGAUAAUUAGGGUUUUGACAAUUUGGGAUAUUUUCUUCCCCUCGAAGUCUUAAGGUUAAGGAGCAAUGGUACAUGACCCGUUUGCCCUCGAGAUUGGGAUACUUGAAUUUUUAUUCGAGAGAGCUUUUCCCUGAUGCGCCCAUCAUUUUGCCCCAGCUUUCUCGCGCCACAAACCGGCACUUGGACAGCCCUGACCAGUUGGGUAUCGAUCCUAAAUCACGACGGUGAUUGGCUUUAGGCCCAUUUGAUUUGAGUGGCGCAAACAAUCCUAAAAGCCCAUCCAUCACUUUUCUGAGUCAGAUCAGAUUUGCCUAAAGAAAACGAAGACUAAUGAAUGGUUUUUUUUUUUUUUUUGACAAAUCAGAGGCUUACCAGGUUAAAAUUUUGGGCCUUAAUACUUUUCAGCUUUAUUAUUCUUGAUAUAGUUGAUUGGUAAAUUUUAUGAAUCCCAUUUAAUUGGUACGUAGAGAGAGAGAGAAAUAAUUUUAUAAGUCGGAGUCUACUCUAACAAUCAUCUGCGGGAUAUUUUUCAAGAUCUGGUUCAUUCUUGGCUGAUGCAUGUUUGAGGUGUUGACGGAGUAGAGUACCAUAUUUGGUGAAAAUGAGGGGGCUAAAGCAAAAUAAUAAACACACGUUCAUAUCCAUAUGUUGCCAUAGAACACCGUUGUUUUAAAGAACACCGUUGUUCUUCUACCUCACUUUGAACCAAAGCAUACUUCCACAUUUUAACCAGAGCUGUUCAAUUUAGCUAAUUUUCAAUUACUAAUGAAACUUCGUUUACAAUUUCUGAACAGUUUGAUCAAGAACCAUCUUCAUUUCAGCAGCCUUGCACAAGCUAACACAAAAUUUGCCGCCUAGAAUAUCCUGACCGUACUCCUUUAGGAAGUGUAGUUUGUUUGCAUGGAGGCACUCAAAUAGGAACAAUCGCAAUGCCAGUUCCUUACACACUAUAUCCUUCAAAUGAUUACAUCAGAAUUUAAACGAAGCAUGACCGCAGAACAAUGAACGAGUUCCCCAAUAGAGAUCUAGCUUUUAGAUUUAGGAAAGUAAAUCCAUCAGGAAGCACAAAUAAAACUAAAGCACUAGCAACUGCAGGGUGUAAAAAGUGAGCAUCCACCAAAAAUAACGCAAAACGAAGGUACUCAAAGGAUGGCCCUGGAUUCCAGCCUGAGCUCUCAAAUAAAUAAGUGUUUAUACUCCCCGUUUGCAAGCUGACAAAUAUGGUUGUAGCCUUGGGUAUCUGGAAAAACCAAAAAGAUAAGCAAAUCAGAAACAUGAAAGCAAAAGCUUCAUUUAGGAUUGAGUAGCAACUGGCAACAGCAUACAUACAAGGUAAUCUUUUCGCGCAAGAAAAAUGUAGCCGUUUUUAGUUCCGCAAGACAUCAUAACAUACUCAUCAGAAGAGUCACGGAUCCACCAGCAAAACAUGUGGGCUUCAGUGAAAGCAAUCCUUUAAUAUCUACCGCUGAUAUGCGCUCGAGCAUUAUCAUCAUCAUGAGCAUCAAAAUUCAACUAACUAGUGAACCUAUUCGGGGCUCAUGAAAGAGUUCUGAAGUUCUAAAUCUGGUCCACUUUGAUCAGAGUAACCAAGUAAACACUUACUGCCAUUAUAUGGAUUCUAAAACGCCUACUCCCUGAAGCUUGGAAAACCUUUUUCGUGUUUAAUUCUUCAUGGUUAACUCCUAAUUAACAAUUGUACAAAUAGUUUAAUUGUCUGACACGAGAGCUAAGAAAAUAUUGAAAAGUUCCCUACAAGAUCCGGCAAUAAUCACCAGCCUGCCCUUUUCAGAUAAGGAUAAAUUGACUACCAAUAUUGGCAAAACAUAGAAAGAUAUGCCUACUUACACUUCAGGCUUUUACGUCCAUUUGUGCCCAAAAUAUAACAGGAACCGGCAAAUCUAAAGCCAUUGCCAAGAGAUGCUCAAGGAAUAAGUUCGCUUAAUACGGGCGAGUCGUUGGCAAACCAGUUCCAGCAUCAAAGCAAUUUAGAUUUCAAGGGUCACAAGAACCACUUCAAUCUAACAGAUCCACGCAUAGCCGUACAAAUUCAAUUACACAAAUCAUUAACAUACAAGCACCAUAAGCAAUCAAAAAACCCAAGCCAAGACGAGCAGUCUGCCCCAGAAAACAAGCCACUGAAGAUUUUUUUUUUUAAGAGAGAGAGAGAGAGAGAGAGAGAGAGAGAGCAAAAUGGGAAAAAAAAUGAAAGAAAUGUUAAAAAGUGCAAAAUCUUACCAAAAACAUCGCCAAAGUUGGUCCAGAUAUCGGCGCGGAUAGACUGAUUGCUAUCAGCAAUACCAAUGACUUCAACAAAAGUGGAAAGGGGAGCAGGUGGAUGCCCUUUCACGAAUAUUUGUUGCCCAUCUGUUGAUUUUCCGGUGACGGUGCCGCUUCCGUCGGAGCGUAAGACUUGAAUCACGGCUCUUACCCGCUUCCCGACGUGCAUCCGGAGUAACUCGCCGUUCACUAAUACUGCUGGGCUUGAGGUGUCCAUCUCUUCUGUAUCUGCAAUAAUACAAGUAUAUAACAAAAUCAACCACAAAUAUCAAUCCUUAGAGAUGUCCAUUUCGAUUUAUUGAAUAAAAUCAAAGGGGAAAAUCGGGAGAAUUUUAAGAUAUUUUACCUCCUCAACCUUUUAGGUUUUCUUGGAAAUUCCUCGAUUCCUAAACCUGCGACUCUGCUACAGUAACAUGUACUACCACUAGUAAUGGAGUAUGUGUUUGUCGUGGUGACCACUGAUGAGCCUAGAGGGAGGCUACUACUGCUAUGAUUAAAUUUUAUCCUCUCCUUUUCAUGUUCCUUGGGCCUUUCACAAUUUUUGUUGGAAGUGGCGGCAAGUGUUCCCGCCCAGUGAUCUGCAAAAUAGGACGCGGGUCGGAUUGAAACCGAACUAGCAUUAACUGGGUGGUAAAUAACGAGUGUGUUUGAAUUACUGAAUUAUUUCAUAUAAUAUUUUAUUUGUAUUAUAACAUAUUUUUUAGUUUAUUUUUUUAAAUAUUUUUAAAUAUCUUUUUAUUUUACAUACACCACAUCGUAAAAAAUACUAUAACAAUUAUUCCAAAUAAUACACUCUAUCCACACACGCUCAAUGAAAGCCUAUUUAAAUAGGGUAUUUAUUAAGGUAAUUAACUAUAAAGGGUAAUUAACUAUAGAGUUACCGAAAAUUUUCACUUCUAUCCUAUUCUUCGCAUAAACAGUUUUGAGUGUCCAUGGUUAGAAGAUCCUUUUUGAAAUACGUACUGUAAACUUUUUUGAAAUAUGACAGGGUAAUUAACAUUUGAAAGUAUAUAUACACACACACACCCUUAAUCACAGCGUGAUUCAUCAGACAAAAUAGUCCGAGUCUUUUGAUCUACGAUAAGAAGAUUAGUAUGAUGUCUAAAACGCAAGUUUACAGCAAUCAACAAGAUUCGAAAUACACGUGCGUGCUUUAAACUACAUUAACAUCAGUACAACAAUAAAUGUUCUAGUAAAACGCAAGUAUACAACAAAUGAACAUGACUGGCACUUGCAUUAGGGUCGUAAAUCGUAACUACCAUUUUCCCUGCAACAAAGCCCGAGGAUGAAUGUCCGUACAGGUGCAAAGCUGAUUUUGCAAUUUAACAAUAAAUUCAUAUUGGGUAAAUGGAUGUUCCGAAUUCCCUCUCAAAGCAUCAUAUUACAAGAGCCAAUGAAGCCAGUGAUGUAUGUUGAGCAUCUAUAAGUGAUGACCGACUUAGCUCCUGAAGCUUACCAUCAUCUAAGAGUAAAAUUCUCUGGGCCAUAAGAACUGUUUCCAGACGAUGUGCAAUGACUAGCACCUGCAAACACUCGUAGACGUACAUCAGCACCUAAGUGGACAAAAGGUUAAAAAGAAAAGAAAACGAAAAAAUAAUUCAUGCUGCUGCUAUGACUAUGAGGCGAUAAGAUGCUGAAAAGAUAAAGAAAUAAAUAAAAAUUGUACUUACGGUACGGUUUUGCAUCAGCCGUUCCAGAGCUCGUCUCACUUGCAACUCAGACCUGCUGUCUAAAGCAGAAGUAGCUUCAUCCAGAAUCAGAAUGGAAGGGUUUUGAUAAAGUACCCUUGCAAUUGCCAGUCUGACAUAAAAUAAUGUUAUAUUACUGAAGGUUCUGCAGCAGUUGUGACAAUUAAAACCAUAGCCAAUAUGUUUCAGAAGAAAAGAAAUUCUAAAACUGAUAACUCGUCCUACAAUUUUGCUAAAACUCGUCCUAUGAGUCACGGGAGAACUUUCCACUUAAUGAACCCACGCCAUUCUCUAUGCCAUACCCUGGCAGGGCUAAGAAAGGCUAAAGUACACUCGCUAAAAAGAUGAUACCUUUGCUUUUGGCCUCCACUCAGACUUGAGCCCCUAGGUCCAAUAUUGGUUUGAUACCGAUCUGGAAGUGUUUCAAUGAAUUCAUCUGCAUUUGCAAUUCUAGCAGCAAAUUCAACCCUCUCCAUAUCAAUGUCAGCCAUUAGAUCCCUAUACCCAAUAUUUUCAGCAAUAGUCCCUGAAAAGAGUGUCUGACAAACAACAUAAAAUAAAAUCAGAUCUAGCUACAGAAGCAGUUUUGACACCGUGAGAACUGUUCCAUAGAUCAAAUCAUAGCUGUAAAUACACGAGGUUGGCAUGCAUUUUUCAAUUGGUCUUUGUUAGGAUAAAAUAAUAGAAGACAUAUCAUCCACAUUUCUCUAAUGUUCAACUAAAUAUCUAGAGGAAUGUCAGCAAUCCAGCUUUCUCAUCAUUCUUAACUAGGAUUUUCGAAAGUACAAAGCCUCAUUAUUUUCUUUCAUCCCAGAAAACAUGGAGCUCCAUAAGAAAAUGAAGAAUGGAAUGACACUGGUCUUCAGGACGACUUCUCAGCAUUCCCAACUUUUCAAAGCUACUAAAACUCUAUCAUCCUAUAAAUCAAAGCUCUCUAGUGUGUCAUAUUUGAUGCUAUGCAUAUCCCAUUCCCAAGACUAAAACUCCAUCAUCCUAUGGUUGAUGUUUUCAUCAACUGCAGACAGAAGAUGUAACAACAGAUGAAUCUUAAACACAUUACAUGCAAAAUACUCAUUUAAUAAUCCCCUAAACUGAAUAAAAAUUUUCACACAAUAUUUGGACUGUUUCUCACCGAAGCAGCGCCAAACUGAAAAGAUACCUCAAACCAAAGUAAGACUAGAAUUAAACAAACGUGAAGAACAUAACUAGAUCAGUAUCUUGCCACUCACUACAUCUUGAGAGACGAGACCAACAUGCCUCCUUAGAUUUUCCAGUCGUAUAUUUCGAAUAUCAUGGCCAUCCAUAAGUAUGACACCUGUCAAUAGAAAAUAAGUAAGCUCCUCUACACAAUAGGAAAGAUGGGUAUAGUGAUCAUAAACAAGGAUCAAAGGCCAAUUGAAAAUGUGAAAGCAUAUGUUGAAAUGACAACACAACUUACCAAAACAGGAUCAUACAAGCGAAGAAGAAGUUUUGCAACAGUAGUCUUUCCUCCUCCUGAUGGCCCAACAAGAGCUACAAUCUCUCCGGCUUUGAUCCGAAAAUCCACACCAUUCAAAACAAAUUGUGUACUAUCUUCAUAUCUAAAAGAGACACCAGAAAAUUUUACUUCUCCAAGAACUUGGUCUAAUUCAACUGAAUCUGGCUGCUCAAUCACCUAAAACGCAAAAAAUUGAAUAAAUAGCUUGUUGCACAAAUAAAGAGUGAUGCUGCCAGGGCUGACAGGUGGUAUAUUCUCCACACCCACCCCCAACCAGAAAAAGAGGAAGAUCCUAUCCAAAUAGAAAGUAGUUAAAUGAUUUAAAACCUGAGGUAUAAAACUUGUCAAAGUAAACAAGCGCUCUACUGCUGGCUCUCCUUGCUUUAAUUCAUUGUAUGCUUUACCCACACCCUGCAUAAUCCUGUAAACUUAGAUUUAUACUCUAAGAUAGCUCCAUAUAUUCUAACAAUGAUAUAAAUACGGAGGAUCACAAAAAUAUGGAGAAAUAGAUGUGAAAGAACAUUCAGGCAUUAGAAAGAUGCGCAAAAUAAAGACCUGAACUAUUUCCAUCAUCUUCACACAAAAAAUGCAUAAUUUAGGUAGGACAAGAAAUUAGCUAGGUGUAAUCACAUGGCACAUUAUAUCAUCUCUAUAUUAAAACUAAAACUACCAGUUGAUGAAUAUAGAACUGCAAAUUUGCAGCAGCACUGGAAGGAUGAUAACAACCAUAUCUCUUGCAGUAUCUAAUAUCCCAUCAACUAUGAAACAGUGCAUUGUCAGUCAGUCCCAAGGAAAAUUGAGUUUUGGAACCUGUUCUCUCAUGGUUCUCAUGACAAGUUGACAACCUAGGAAUUAAAUAGAUAUUAAAUUAAGUUCAACGCAAUUAUUGAUACCAAGUAUAAAACCAAUUAAGGAACAGUUGCAGAAAAUGUUCAUGUACCAGAAAUGUCAGCCCUGAAACCUCAAAAUGCAUUAAUUUGUUGAGAGUCAACCAGUAAAAAAUUAUGAGCACCAUGCUUGCAAACGAUCAUAUCUACACAUGCAUACUGACAACAGAGCCAAGAAUGAUUGUAAAAGAUUAUUUAGCAAUGCGCCAUCUACUGCAUCAUGACCUUUUUCCCCCUUUUUGGCUUUGUUUAGCUGUGUCAUGACCUUAUUCCCUUAAAUGAAAUAUUAUAAGAAAAAAAUGCCUCAGAACUAAUCAAUAUCAAUCCCUCAUACAUGGUGUCAACAACUAAGGGGUAACAAAUACAAAGUUGUUGGUACGAAUCCAUCAUUUAUCACUUAGUUCAAACAAUAGUAAGAGAUGAAAACUGUACCAAAUUUUGUCCUUCAUCAGGGAGAGAAACUCAUAACCUUCUAGGGAUAAAAUUCUAGUGCAAGUAAUUGGGAUUUCAGAAGUAACCAAAACUUCGUCAUAUCCAAAAUUGUAAAACUAUGUGAAGACAUCCAAUGAAAGCAGGUGUAUAACUCAUAAAGAACCAGACACUUACAUGAGGAGAAAUACUACUAACAUGUAAAAUGCUUCACAACAUUGAAGAAAAUGUUACCUGAAUCGGCUCGAUCAACAGGUACAAUGAUGUUAUGAAAGAAACAAUUGCAGAACAAUCCAAUGAAUCUCUUGAAGCUACCACUGAGCCAGCACAAAUUGUGAACAAUAGCCCAAAAUAAAAGAUCUGUAUUAUAUGUGGAAUUAAGGCCUUCAUUUUCUUCUUGUCUAAACACGCAGAGCAGUCAGUGGAAGCAAGCAACUGAAACCUGACAUUUUCGCAGAGUUCUGCAUUAUUUGCCUUCACAAAAAGAAUUGAAGGCAGAACCUAUUUUGAACAACGAACAGAAUUACACAGUUAUCCUAAGCAUGUAAUAAAAAAAUAUAUAGCCAGUAAAUUAUACAAUCACAAAAACUGAGGAAAGGCUAAUUGCCAAAGAAGGCUUUGAGGCACCACAACUUGACUUUAAAAAUGCCAUAACUGGUAAUCAAGAUGUAACAAAGGAAAGACCAACAUGCAUAAGUAAAGCUGAUCCAAAAAUGUGAUGCACAUGAUAGGCAGAGAAAAAAUAUAUCAAGAAUGCACGUGUCCAAAAAUUACGAAUACAUUUCCUUUGUGCUCUUUCAGGAAACAGCAUAGACCUGGCCAAAGGCCAAGGAAAAAAUCUCUUGCAGUUAAGGCAAAUUCUGGUAAUCAGUUUGAAAGCUUUAUCAAGGCUUAAUACAAUGAGAAGGCAUAAUACAAUAGUUCAAAGUUUUGCGGAGUAAGUUAAGAUGCCUCACAACUCCCAAUCCCAAGAAACAGCUCAUGACCAACAAAACAGAUAGCUCCACUUGCUCCACAAUGAAGAGAAAAUAGUGCUGAUUUUUACAAGCAAAGAAGACAACACAGAGUGUUUCUUAUAUCCCAUCCAUCAUGAACUCAAAUUUUCAAGAUAGAGGAAUCAUACAUAGUCAUUAACGUGUAUACCAGCCAAAUUAAACCAUUAACGUGUAUGAAACGUAUGCCAGCCAAUUAUACCAUACCUCAUUCAAAUAGGCCGAGAGAGAAGCAACACUAAGAUGCGCUCUAUUAGAUAUCUCACGAAGAUUUCACCAAGGCAUCCAACCAUAAGAGCCAUAACUGGAAUCACCUUCAAGAAAUGCCAUAGAUUUGACAGUGCAAUCGAUGCUCCAUUAAAACACACACAUAGAAAACCACAAAACAGGAACAAAAACUUAUAACCUAUCAUUUCCUCACCAAAGCUGAAAUCAAGGAGAGUACAGGCUAAUGACCAGCAUCUGAGUACCCAUUGUUAAUAACUGCAAGGUGCUGGGCACAAUGGUCUGCCAAAAUAAGUAGAGAAAAAUUAUAUUAUAAGCAAUAUAUCCAACAGCCUUAGAAGUACACUUGGCAAACCAUAAAGGCAAAGUUUUCACACAGCUGAUGGCCACCAAAAAAAUUGCAUUGAAAAUAAUCACGAAUCAAGCUAGUUGACUCAAAAAGAGCUUGUUUCAGAUCAAUCUAUCACAUGGUCAAGAAAUGCCAUAGAUUUGACAGUGCAAUCGGAUGCUCCAUUAAAAACACACACAUAGAAAACCACAAAACAGGAGAACAAAAAACUUAUAACCUAUCAUUUCCUCACCAAAGCUGAAAUCAAGGAGAGUACAGGGCUAAUGACCAGCAUCUGAGUACCCAUUGUUAAUAACUGCAAGGUGCUGGCACAAUGGUCUGCCAAAAUAAGUAGAGAAACAAAUUAUAUUAUAGAGCAAUAUAUCCAACAGCCUUAGAAGUACACUUGGCAAACCAUAAAGGCAAAGUUUUCACACAGCUGAUGGCCACCAAAAAAAUUGCAUUGAAAAUAAUCACGAAUCAACUAGUUGACUCAAAAAGAGCUUGUUUCAGAUCAAUCUAUCACAUGGUCAAACAAAACUCGAACAAGAUUUUACUGGUUUUAGCCUUUUUUUAGCUGCAGUCAGCCUCAGCCCCAGUUUCCAAAAGCUUAGAAGUUACACUACAUACAUCAAGCAGUUGAGCACGACUCUGGCUUGGCUAGAUAAAAGCUUGUCCAGAUUUAGUUCAAAUAAUGAUCAAGCCAAUCCCGAUCCAAUAAAAAUAAGUAUAGCGGGAAAAGGGACACUCACGUUUAAGAAGGAAUAAAUAGUAUCCGCUACGUCUGCGGACUCAGCUGUGAUCCGAUAAGCUAUAUCCCCGGCAGAAACUCCAUUUUUACCUUCAAAAAACCUAAAUCUCUUUCUAAAACUCGACGGUAUACAGAAACCCUGAUAUUAUACACACAGUUAGAGCGGCGUCCCAGAGAACGCCUGCUGCAAGUAACUCGAGAUAAUUCUUACAAGCACGAGAACACCCAAAAUUAAACCCUGGUCUCGCAGCGUCACAGCAUCUAAAGUGGUCAAGACAGCGGAUAAUCUGCCCACCUUGGGUACGAUUUGGGAUAGAGAGUAGACUGAAAUGGCGCCGCAGAGCCAACCAUAGAGGACGGGUUGCCAUUGGGCUUGGAGGUAGGGUGUGAGGGGUACAGACGGGCAAGUGUAUGUGGUGUAGAGUUGAGGUUGGCCCCGGGAGUAGAGGAUUUGAGACAGGACGGAAUAAUGCAGCGGUGACGUUUUGAAAGGCGGUGGCGACAGAGUUGGAAAUGGUGGAGGAAGGGGAGUAGGAGUCAUAAACUGGCGGUGUAAGUUGAAACAGUAGCGCCAUACCGUAAUUUGACGGCAAAGUACUUACUACUAAGUAAAAUAAUAUGUUAGUACUACUCUGGUGGAAGCAAACGCCGACGUUUUAUAAUGACCUUCGCACUUUGGAAAUUCUUUAGGCUUGUUUGGGAGGCUUUGAUUCAUGAUCAUCGGAGAACAAAUCGAGAACUAAUUCGCUCAAUAUAUAUAUGAUGGAUUCUUAUUAGAACACUAAUAAGGUCUCUAAAGUGCAGCUGUAUUUGAUAAUUUUUUCAGCUAGUAAUUGUGAUUACCAAUGGAAAUGCUUAAUCUCAUGUCGAGAUAAUAUAAUCCACACAUUCUCUUUAUAUAUUGAUAAGAAUGAUAUCAUUUCAAUGUUUUCUUCCACAAUGCAACUAACAACUUGCGAGACCUAUAUAAUUAAAGAUUAAUCUUCAUACACUAACAGCGUAUACACUUUCAUCAUUACUAGUGUUUUGACCCAUGCUAUGCACGGGAUUAUAUUUCAAAUCAAAAAUGAUAUUCUAUAUAUUUAUAUAUUAUGGUACAAAAUAAUAAAUAUAUAUACUAAAAAUUUUAAAGAAGUGAUGCUUAAUAUUUUGAAAAAAAAAUUAAUCUGUAAUGAUUUACAUGAUAAAAAAAUUGUUAACGGAUUUAAGGAGAGGGUUAAGUUGGAUGGUAAGGUGAGAAGAGUUUUCUUUAAAAAAAUUAAUUUAUCAAUAUCUGACAAAACAUAUUAUGUUAUACUCAUAUAUCAAUACUCAUAAUAUAAAAAAAAUAAAUUAUAACCAAUUUAUUUUCUUCCAUUUUUAGGAAAAAAAAUCUUUCUCCUUUCUUGUGUCCCUAUAAUUGUUUAAUGCAUUUAGAUUAGCAUUUUUCAUAAACUUUAACGUAUAUUUAAAAAAAAUCUCCGUAAUACGUGUUUUUAGAAUUCUCUAAAUUAUUAAAAAUCACCAUCAUUUCUCUUUUUCCUUAUCCGACACCUAGUCAUCAGAUGCCUCUUACGACUUUCAUAUCUUCUAUCAUGGUACCACUCUCCUAUUAUUAUUUUUUUGUCAUUUCAAUCAUAUUCAUGGCAAUCCUCUUUCUUCCUCUCUCCCUUCUCUGCCCAUCCUCGUAAUCCAUAUUUUUUUUUCAACCUUUCCCGUCACUUUUCAACUUCUCACUAUUUUUUUCCCUCCAUCCCCCUAUAUCUAAUCUCUAAAUUCAUAUCCCUGCAACCCAAUAUAUUUAAUUUUACCUAUCAUAAUGAAAAUAUAAUUUUGAAAAUUGAUUACAAUGGUUGCAAUUAUUAGUAUCUAAUAAUGGGAAUGAAAAACUGAUAAUAUCUAUAAUAUUCUCAAGUACUACAAUCAAUAUAUAUAUAUAUAUAUAUUUAACAUAGCAAAUACAUAUUUACAUAUGAAGAGAGCAAUAAGAAUACUAAAUAAUUAAUGAUAUCAAAAGUUAUCCUUAGUGUUUGGGUUUUGCACUCUUAUUCAAAUCUAAUAUCAAAUUUGGGCCAGAUAUAUACAAAUUAAGUAGUAUUUUAGGGUUGAAUGUUCUAUAUCUUUCUCUUAAACUAUAAUGUUUUUUUUUUAUAAAUUUUGGUAGAAUUGGUGUUGUUAUUAUCAUUAUUUUUUUUUAUCAAAAAUGAAUAUUUCAAAAAAAAAGUUUCCACAUUAAAAGGCUAGCAGUACUUUGUUUUUUAUUUAGUGAUUUUAUAAUUUGGAUUUCAUGAAUGGUACCAUUCUUGAUUUUUUAAAUCCACGACAUUAUUUCAUGAAUAUUUUUUAUUUAAUUUUACCCUUUUACUUAGGAUUACUAAAUUAAAAAAUAAAAUAUUGUCAUUUACUUUUUUACUUUUACUAAGUUUGGCAAUACUUUCUUUUUAUUUACCCUCCCACUAAUAGAUUUCAAAUCAAAUUCCUAUAUAAGUGGAGUCACUACUUUUUUAAAUUAAAAAGACAUUGAAGCCACUUCUUACUUAAGAAAAUAUUAUUUGCACUCUAUUUUUUAUUAUUUGCAAUUCCACUAUUUGUUUUAUCAUAUAGUAUAAUUAAUGAAAAGUAUAUAACCAAAAUGAUUAUUGAAGUGUGAAUAACAAAAUUGGAGUGUAAAUAAUCUUACUUAUUUAAAUUAGUAAGAAAGUAUGAAAAGAUGUUAUAUUUGUUAUCUUUUCUUAUGGUCUUAUAGAAGUUUUAAUUGUUGUAGAAUCAUAAAUACCGCAAGACAAUCGAAAACGUGAUGGGUUGAAGUUCAAAUAGGAUAACAUGCAUAUUAACCAAUAAUUUGAAAUGAAAUGAUUUUAAAAGGUAACGAAUAAUUUCAAAUGUGAAGAGUAGAUGUGAAAGUUGAAAGGAAUAUAUUUAAUAAAUUAAAUUAAAUGUGAAAUGCUAGAAAAAUGGAAUUGAUUGUGUGAAAAUGCAUGAAAACUUGUUACUAAAAAUCCCUUCUCAAAUUUAUAUAAAUAUAGAUAUGCAUGAUACAUAAUUUGAAUUUAAAUUUAAAAUUUAAAUUUUACGUAUAUAUCGUAUAUCCAAUCGUGAUAGUGUAUAGAUGGUAAGAUUUACUAUGGGCCUGUUUGGAAGCUUGGUUUUUUACCAAGUUUAUAUAAAACUAGUUUUUUAACAACUUUUGCUACAGGAACCCCAAAAAACUUAUCAAAGUUUUUAACCUACACACUUAAAAUAUCCAAAACAUAACAAAAAAAAUUCCCUUCCCCUUUUCUUCUUCUUCCUCCCUCACUACCACCUCCAUUGCCGGCUCCGUCACCAAUUUCCGGUGCCGGUGCCUGUCCUUUUUUUUCCCCAUUUUUUUCCCUCUCCCCUCUUCCUCCCCUGCCAUCAUCCUCCCUUGUCUUUUUUUUUCUCUCUUACGUCUGGCGCAGAGGGGGGUGGCACAGAGAGGGGCGGCCAAGGGGGCAGAGGGGGAGGGGAAGAGGGGUGGCCAGGGGGCAGAGGGGGGAGGGGGAAGGGGUAGAGGGGGGCUGCCGGGGGGGAAGAUGGGGGAGAGAGAGGCGGCGGGGGGAGGAGAAGGGGGCAGGGAGGGGACGGGAGGGAAGGCGGGAGGAGGGGCAGAGGGGGGAAGGCGGGGGAGAGAGAGGCUGCGGGGGAGGGGGAAUGCGGGGAGAGAGAGAGGAAGGGGGGGGAGGGGGAAGGGGCAGAGGGGGGCUGCGGGGGGGAAGAUGGGGGAGAGAGAGGCGGCGGGGGAGGGGGAAGGCGGCAGGGAGGGGGACGGCAGGGGAGAGAGGGAAGGCGGGGGAAGGGCAGAGGGGGGCUACGAGGGGGAAGGCGGGGGAGAGAGAGGCUGAGGGGGGAGGGGGACAGCGGGGAGAGAGGAAGGCGGGGGGAGGGGGAAGGGGCAGAGGGGGACGGGGGAGGUGGAGUUGCAGCUGGGGGUGGUGGAGGUAACGGGGAAGAAGAAGAAGAAGAAGAAAAAGAAAAAGAGAGGAAAGAAAAGAAAAAGGAAAGAAAGAAGAAGAAAAGAAAAAGAAAAAGAAAGGGAAAGAAAAAAAAAGAAAAAAAAAGAAAAGGAAAAAAAAAAAGUUUUUCACCUUACAAAAACUUUUACAAAAUUUUUCACCUAACAAAAAUUUCUACAAAAUUUUUUCAAAAACUUCUACAGUGCACUACAGUAAAGUUUUAGACAAACUCCCAAAAAACUCAGGUUCCAAACAGGCCCUAUAUAAUUAAUGUUAAAAGUAAAUAGGAUGCUACACUUUGCUUGCAUAGGUUUCGGGAGCUGUAAAACUACCACUAUUAAUUACAGUAAUAAAUAGGAAAUCUUUUCAGAUAAGAGAAAAGUCUGAACACGAGACAUUAAACAUGGAUUGUUAUUUCUUUGAGUCAAAUGUUACAAGCAACUCUUGGGAAAUUUAGUAAUUGCCUGGAUGGUGAAGUUACGUAGCCCUUAGGUUGAGUGAGACUCUUUUGGUGUCUCUGAAUGUAAUUUAGCUUUUCCCCUGUUAAAUUCCCAUUGUUGAAAAAAAAAAAAAAAGAGGCGUUGUCAUCUCAACCCCAAAGAACAGUUAGAAAGGAAACAAUAAUGGUUCCACCAAAGAAUAUCAGAAACAAAACAAAAUUUGCUUAAUCUUACAAAGAGAAUAGCAAAGAAGAAAAUAGGGUAUUUUCAAAUUAAAAAAAAAAAAUUGACAACAAUAGCCAAAGAAAUAAGAACAAAAAUUUUGUCCAAGAUAUUCAUGGAACAUUUAGUAUCAUUUUCUUUUAACUUUUUGACUAUGGGAACACAGCUCCAGCCAGAGCUACAAACAAUUCCUGAAACAAGGAUAGCUGAUUUAAAUUUAUCCAAUGCAUCUUUCUUCUCAUUUUCCUUUUUCUCUGCUGCUUCAAUUUGUUCCUGACAACAUUGCAGCAUUGUAAGUAAUUAAACAGCAACAAUCAAAUGCACCAAACAAAGCAAUCAACUAAUAUUGAGAGCAGCUUGUGUACGUGAUUCCACAAAAACUGCUUUGGACUCGCUCAUAUCUGCAUUCUAAAGUCAGGAAACUGACAUCUGCACUGCAGGCUUGGAUUUCGGAAACAUUACCUUAAUCUGCAAAGAGGUAGCAACUUCUGAGGAGACGGGAUCGACCUCGAAAUUCUUGUUUUCUCCUGGGUUUAACUCCUUUUCAGCGUCAGCAGCCGGAAAUGCGUCUCCAGGGCUUGCCAUUUUCUGUCAGGAUUACAAUAUUACAAAUAAUAUACUACUAUUUGCUUCCAGUCUUUCUCUAUGUUUCCUCUUCUCGUAGCUUGUCUUGACUCUUGAUUGUUAAUGGGAAGGAGAAUGGGGAAGGAAGAGAGCUAAGCUGAUAGCAUUUGGCUUUCCAGAAUUGGAAGCAAAGAUAAAUUGGCCAAACACUUGUCAGUAGCCCUACAAAUGCUAUCGUGAAAAAGGAUCUCAACUACCCCUUCACCAAACCCAAUUAAAAAAUAAAUAAAAAAAAACUGCCACUUCACCGUCCUUGCUUUCAACUGCCCGACAAAACAGGUGCUGCUUAUCAACCUCGGACCUCCAAUUUCCCAAAUCACCCUCGAUCACUACUCCUGCUCUGCUGUGCCGAUUCUUUUUCUUCCUCUUUUUUUUUUUUGGCCCUCCACUGUUUUAUUUAACGCAAAAUGGGAUUUCAUAAAAAUGCUAUGGUCAGCCAUGUAUAUAUAUACACACGUUGGUUGUCUUGAUAUUUUUGCUUUCUUGUAUUUCCAUGAUUCGUCUGACAAUAUUUAAAUCCAUGGACUUUUCUUUGCCACAUAGGUAUUAUUGUUCCUUAGACGCAAAAAGAAAGGAGCAAGAAAAGCGCGAGGAAGUUAAGUAGUAAUGGUUACUUUAAAUUCUGUUUGGAUUGAAAGAAAGCUACACACUGAAGUAUCAUGAUAAUCAUUAACUAUCGAUUUUUCCCUUAAUUUUAUUUUAUCAAAUAAGCAUCCACAAGGAAGUAAUCUUAGUCCUCUACCUCAGUUUCCUUAGUUAGCCGAUAUCAUAUAGGGAUAAGUAAAAUUUAUUGGGAGACGUCACGACACAUGAAGAACAUUUGUACAUCAAAGUGAUCAUUUAGCUAAGCUUAGUGUACAGUUAGAUUUGGAGAUAGUUUUUGUUAAUCCCCCUAACUCUCGGUUAGAAGCUUGUUAGUUUUUGAUUUAGUGGGUGUUGCUAGGCCCAGAAUGGUUUCGUUUGUAAUGGGUUUCAACCCUCCAUUUGAAUCAAAAAAAAAAAAAAAGAAAAGUGAUGAAACACAAAUCUAGGCUUUCUAUUCGUGCAAGCAUUUCAAACAAAGCACUUUCACACGAAAAAACUAAUCUCCGUUGCCCCUCCAGCCCUCCCCGUUCCACGACCCCCCCUGCCUCCCCAAAAAAAAAAAAGAAAAAAAAAAGGGCAGUAAGCUCUCUCUUUCAAAGGAAAAUUUUCUAAACCUCUGGCUUCUGAUGUCAACUGGAGAACACAGAUGGAAUAUGUAACUGGUCCAACUGCCCAAUGGCAGGCACCUUGCCACUGUAAUUGGUUUGAAAAAUUGGCUCUCAGUUCUUGGCUCCAAAACCUCGAGGGCCUGGUCUUGAUGAAGCGAGUCAGCAAACUGUCUCCUUGACUCUGAUCUUCUCUUCCUUCUAGCAGUACCAGGAGGAGCCUGAUGUAAGAAAGGCCACAGAAACGGAGUUCGAAACGUGUUAGGUUCAUUAACAAAAGAAUCGAGUUGUCAAUGAAUCAGCAGCUACAUUACGUGUUAGCUAUGAUGCAUUCCAAGAAUAAAACAGUGAUGCAACUUUGGUGAUAACUGCAGAGCAUCGAUCAACAUAAAUGUUUAUUGGAAAAACACUUAAUAUUCAGAUAGGAUGUGACCAGAUAGAUGCUAGUAUGAUACAAAAGUUUUUUCUUGAACCACAUUGGAGAAUCUGAAUAGAAUAUUGGGUUCUUGCAACAAACAACGAAAUGGGAGAUACUCGGUUCCAGUUAGAGUAGGAUCAAGCUAGACUAUGAAUAAAAAAUCAAGUUCAGGAUAAAGCAGGAGCAGAGUUUGAAUGAUGCAUGAAUUAACUUGUUUUGUCUAUUCCAGCUCUUCUGAGAAGUUUGUACAUGAAGAGAUGGCACAUGCAAAUGAGACAGACACAUAUGCACCUUCUGUUCAGCUUUCAUUGCCUCCUCAAGAUUGCUCAAUGCAGGAAUAGAUCCACCUUCCAUUACGCCCAUGAGAUUCUUCAUACGUACACGCAUUUGGAAAAGUUGAGCAACAAGUUGACUCACCUAAAAGUUUUACCCAAAACUUAUAUUAGGCAAUGAUGCUGGAUACAUGCAGAGAAAAGAAAAGAAAAGUUUUGUUUUGGGCUGUCGAUGAACCACCACAGGACUCCAUAUACCUGUUGCUCUGUUUUUCCAGAAUCUUGUGCAACCCGUUUCCUCCUUGCAGGUGAUUCUGCCAACAGUUCUGGUUUCUCCCUUUCCUCUGCAAGUUAACAGGUUAGCUUAGCUGACCAAAGGGAAUAUGUAUAAAGCAUCCUAUGUUUAUUCUAAAAUUAUGACUAAUAACUAAAAAAGAAAGUAAAAACAGAACUCAUUUUGAUCAUGCAAGAAAGAAAGAGUGUGUGCACUGAAUCAGAACACAUUCAAAAAGACAUUCUGAAGCCGGGUUAGACAAAAGAAGAAUCUGUCUUCCUAGUUCACAUAGCAAUAAACCUAAAACUUUCUCUUAAGUACAUACAAUUGUAACCAAGGAACACAUAUGCCCUCAAAGAAAAAGACAAAUUUUUCCAUGUAAUGUAUCAGAGUCACUAUAUAUGAAUAAAUUGUUAAUAUCCUACUUUGAACAAGUAAAUAAGAAGUUGAAAAAUGUGAUAGAAAGGUGAGGACAUGCUAAUUGGUAGGAAUCAGAGGAAAGACGAAAGAAUCAAGUAUAAGAUUGCUUCACAAGAUUGUAGAGAUUCUCAACAAGACUUGAUUAGACCUGGGGUCAUUGCUUCAAUCAUUGCCUCCAUUAUCUUCAAAUUCUUCUCUGCCUCUCGAAUUUGUGCCGGUGUAACCUGUUCGUCCAUCAAUGAAAUAUCCAUUCAUCAGAAGCACUUAACCAAGUAUCCAAAAUUUCAACUUGUUGAUCCACAACUCUGGAACAUGAGCUAUCUAAAUUUCUCUACACUUACGGAAAACAAAAAGAACAUGAUUAUAUUUUUAAACAAGCAAACUACAAGAAGAAGAAGAAUUUAUACCUUCCCCAUGCCAGGUAUCAUUCCAAUUACACGAGACAUGGAACCCAUCUGUGCAACUGCACGGGUUUGCUUCAGGAAGUCAUUGAAAUCAAAUUUAGCACUCAUGAUCUUCUUCUGCAAUUCUUCAGCAUCUUCUUGGCGCAUCUGUUGAGUGUUGGAAAAAGGCAUAAAUGAUCUUGCGAUUCCACAGGAUAAAAGGAGCAAUUAAGUAGAGGCAAAUUAGUUGCACUCACAACUUCUUGAGCCUUCUCGACAAAUGAUAGAACAUCCCCCAUUCCUAAGAUACGUCCUGCCAUACGGUCAGGAUAGAAAGGCUCAAGAUCCUCGACCCUCUCCCCUCUUCCAACAAGCUUGAUUGGCUUUCCAGAUACCUGUGAUUUGUUUAAGUAUUAUAUGCCACCAACUUCUUUUCAUUAACAAGAAUAAUUAAAGUUUUAGGUGAUUUAUCCUUUUUUAAUUUGUUGGGAAAAGGUGCACUGACUAAUCUUUUGAAGACUUCAUGCGUCAAAAACCAUUUCGUUACUAUAUUGCAAAUUCAUCCCAUUCCAACUAUAAUGACUAUUAGGUUUCAAAGGGUUGAUGGUAAUCAAAAGCAGAAUGUCAUAUCACAAUUUUCAUGCUGUAGAAGAUGUCGAAGCAAAAUGACAUUCUAUUACAAUGUUUUUAAUUCAUCCUAUAAAGAAAAAUCACGAAUGGCUGCACUAUUUAUUCGAAUAAGAAAUCAUGAAAAUGCACUCUUAAUAUCUGGGCAAAGUAGUUUGAGGAAAUUCCAACUUUGCUUCUUUAAAAUGAGGAAUGGGAAAGCCAGGGGAAACAUCAUAAACAUAAGGUCACUUCUAUAAAGGCAGUACCUCUUUCACACUCAAAGCUGCUCCGCCUCUGGAAUCUCCAUCCAGUUUAUAAAAAUGGCACCAGUGAUUCCAAUUUCAAGAUUGAAGUUGUGACCAAAGCUAUAGUUAUUGCAAAAAACUACAGUGAGAAAUAACUCUCAAAAUAUCCAAAAGGAAUCUCAUUUUCCACAUUAAAUUUGUAAAUUAUACUUAUACAUCUAUAAUUCCAAAUAGACAUGCAUGCACACUAACUAGCAGAUAAUUGCAUUAGUUACUAAGUUUCAAUAAUCCAUGGUUCCAAACAUCUUUUUGCUAAACGAAAAAAAUAUCAGAUUGUUUUUUUUUUCAAGAAAAAAAAUAUUGAGAUGAUAUAACUAAGAGAUUCACUCUGUUGAAGCCAUACUUUUUUUAAAAGAUUCUUGCACUCAUAAAAAAAGGAAAAAGAAAAAAAAGCACGUGUUUUUCUCAUAGCAAGACAAAAUGCAUAUUACAUUUCUUGAACUGACAAGACGCAACGUGAAUAUUAUGCAAAUGUACCAAACUCGGAUAUACAGGUCAUGGUUCUGCAUUGCUGAGCAUGAACCAUGAGAAAGGGCAUCUUGUACAAAGCCACAUAGUUGAGAUGACCAGAGGACAAUCAAGUAGAUGACUAGAACAGCAACCUGAUGUGGUACAGCAGAUUGCUAAGCGUAUUGGAAAGGGAAAAACAAUUCUUUUGCUCUUAGUGAUGCUAAAGGAUCAGCGUUAUCAAUGCGAAAGCUUUAUCUUUUAUUGUCUACAUUUAUCAUUAGACAUUCUUAGGACAGGCCAUUCUUGUAAUCAACCACAAGAAGCAACUUAGCUCCGAUAACAAGCAAUGCACAUUUCACAUUGAAAUCAAAGAGGUGAAAGCUUACUUUAAUCUACCUAGUAAGAAAAUGACAAUGAAUACCCUCAAAGUUAUUACAGAUGUUAAGAAUUUUAACAGAUACAAGUACAAAUACCUGCAGCUUCUUGGCCAGUCAUUGCAUCUACAACAAGUAAGACUUCUGUAGGAUUUAAUACCCGUUUCACUUCUUUCAAUUCAUCCAUCAUCGCUUUAUCUAUCUGAUGAAAGAGAAAUCUUAAGACAUCCUAAUUCAUAGACAGUAAAAUAAUCUUCAAAUUCUUUGUAGCGUAGAUUGUUACCUGAAACCUUCCAGCUGUAUCCAUAAUAACCACAUUGACAUUCUUCUUUCUGGCCUCUUCUAAACCUUUUCGUGCUAUCUCAGCAGGUUUGAUCUCAGUUCCUGCUGAAUAAACAGGCACGCCAACCUAUUCCAAAUUUUGAAGAGUUUGCAAAUGAGGUGAAAUCAGUCGGAAGCAUAAAAUAUUGUGUUGCAGACACAGGGGGGGGAAUGACAUUGGGAAAUGCAUUUCACCCAUUUACCAACAACAUGCAAGGGAUCACUGUGAAACAUGAAACAACCUUGAUGAAUGACAUAUCUUUCUAGGCCCUCUUAUGUAUGAAAUUAAAGAUCAAAUUCUAGUUUAUACUAAUAAAGAAAGACUGGGCAUAACUCUUUGAAUUGUAAAUUUUCUAACUCUAUUAACAGUUACAUUACUAGCAAACUCCAAAUUGAAACCUGAGCUAAUAGUCAAGUUAAAUCAAUAAUUGUAUCCAAAUAAUGCUCCUCAUAAUAUGUUGCUUUUUUACUCAUUGACAGCAAGUAACAGAUAUGGUUUGGCCCUGGUUUUGCUCUUAUGGUGCUACAAACAUGUCAACCCAUAGGAAGUAUUUUAUGUAAACAUAUCAAGGAGUGGAGAAUUUCUAGGCACUGUGUAAUAAGGAACUUAACAACUGGGAAACUUACAAUUAGGAAACAGAGUAAGUAGCAAGGCUUUUGAAGUGCAACUUAAGAUUAUUUUUGGCAUAAAAAUUUAAAAAGAAGGGAAACCUAAGUAAGAUUUGUCAUGACUAGGUAAAAAAUUUGAUACCUGUUCACCUAAAAUGACAAGUUGGUCUAUUGCAGCAGGCCUGUACACAUCUCCAGCGAUAAGCAUGCAACUCUUUCCCUGCACUUUAUGAAACCAUAGCUUCAUCAAGUCCAUGUACCAUGUAAAUCUACCUAAUGCAGAGACGAGAGAGAGAGACGGAGACAGAGACAGAGAGAGUACCUGCUUUUUGAGAUAUAAAGCUAACUUUGCACUAACAGUUGUCUUUCCAACACCUUGUAGACCAGCCAAUAAAAUUACAGUUGGCCCAGUUUUUGCAAAAACUAGCUCAGAAACCUCUCCUCCCAUAAGUUUUACUAGCUCAUCAUUCACAAUCUGCAUUGACAAGUAAUUACUUACACAUGGAUGUACAGCCAAAAAGGGAAAAAAAUAACCAAAGAGAAGCACCAUAGCAGACAAGUAUUUUUAUUCCAAUCAUCCACGCGUAUUUGAAUUUGGUCUACAUCCUUGAGUUGACAUGACAACCAAAUUAUUUUAGGGGCAGAAGUGGCUAUAGUCCAAUACAAGUAACAAAUACUUGCAAGAAAACUAAAAAUGGAAACACCCCAGUUAAGAAUUUUGAAAGUCAAAAGGACAAUAGAAUGAUAAAAGGACAGCACAGAAAGAAUUCUGUGGAAGCAGAUGAUUGCCAAGAGAAAUUCAGCAGUGAUAAAGCAAACCCUCAAACUUAAAUAAAUAAAAUACAGAAUCAACCACUGCAAGUUAUGAUCUUCAACAAGAAUUUUUUGAACUGCACUCUUAUUUUGAAAAACUACAUAGCGAAAAUAUCCAAGGUGAAGAUAUGCUUGACAAGUGAAAGUCAUAUUUUAACUUGCAUAGUAGGGUCCUUUCAUCACCAAAGUUGUACCUUAACCAAUUGUUGAUCUGGCCUUACUCCACGGAUUACACCAGUGCCAACAGCUUGAUCACUGACGGCUUGAACAAACCUUCUCACAACAGGAAGGCUAACCUGCCAAAGUGAAAAAAAAUAUCAUUUGGAUUCACCAAACAACCCCCUGAGGAAUAUAGGUGAACAAGAAGUCACUUACAUCUGCUUCUAAAAGAGCUCUCCUAAUGUCUCUCAUAGGUUCAGCAAUGUUUUCCUUGGUCAAGACCUCUGACACAGAAAAUAAGUGGAAAAAAUAUCAGCUUCUUGGCAGGAGCAAGCAGAAGAAGUUUCGGAAAGGCAAAUGAAAGGCCCAAUUUAAACUUUAUGCAGCUUCAAUACAGAUGGCCAUUUUUUAUGACAUUCUUCAUUUUAGAUGGCAAGGCAUUAUCCUAGACAACAUGAAUAAGUUCUCAAUGACAAGAAUAGUAAAUCUGUUGGCUAUUUUCUGUAUUUUGUAGAUCCAAUUCACAAUCAUGUUCAGUUGGCCUCCAAAAAUUAUGACCAUGGACUUUGACAGCAGAGGUAGAACAUGGCAUUACAAACACAAAUUAUUUGUUCACAGAAAACAAAUUUAAUUUGGAAAGUAACAAUCAAAAAUUGGCAUGAAAAUACUAUUACAUUUACAUGUUAAGGAGAGAAACAGAGAAGAACCUUCCCCUUUGAGCUUAUUCCAAGCUGUUUCAAGUCCACUAGUCAGCUGCCCAAACAUCUCAGCCCUAAUAAUAAGUCUACCGCCCGCCAUUUUUCUUGUUCCAGUAACAGCAGCAUUCAUGGAACUGGAAUGGAUCACUCCCCAUAAUUCUCUCUACAGUUAAAUGCCCAAUGAAAGUUACAUUAAAUAAACAGACGUACUAAGAUUACGAUAGGGUUAGUUAAGUGAUAGCAGUAUCAAUGCAAGCAGUCAUUACAGUGAAUGGAUUUCUUGAAGAGAAGGAAAGAGAAUGUGUAGAGCCGAUAAACGAGGAGGAAGAGCAGGGUUGUGUGGAUCUUCUGAGAAAUUUGGAAUUCGAAAGGUGGGUAGUCUUGGAGAGUGGAAGUGCGGUCGACAAAUGGCGCGAAGCAACGGUCGACACAGAUGCUGUAGCUUCCAUGGUACUCUUCAGACGAGGAGAGCAAAAGAAGCGAAGAAAGAAAGAAGGAAAAAGAGUUCUUUCUUCCUCUGUUCUGGUACUUUUAUCCUUUAGGAAUCAAAAGCGAAUAACGUAACGAUACGUGUAAUCUGCUCGUUUAUCCAGGCUAUGUUUGGAUAGCCCGCGGGCGCACCGUUGUAAGCUUUCGACCUUCCUGUACUGCUAGCUUUAGACGACAGUUCAAGACAGCGUCCAACACCAAACCCCAAUGAUAAGUGAUUUUUAUAUAUUGCCAAACUUGCAUUUUUGUAAGGGCAUCCACAAUGCUAUUACACUUUGUGGAGUGUAAUUCACAUGUCACGUCAGCAUUUCACUUUCUCCUCUUUUAUUAUACUUUCACUUACAAUGGAUUACACUCCACAAUGUGUAAUAGCAUGGGUCCACAAUUAAUCAAAUAUUUAUUUUAAUAAUGCAUAACUCAUAUCCAAUAAAUAAAUAAAGUAAUUUUUAAAACUAAUUUUGUUAUUUUUAAAAAAUAAAGUACUAACUUUCGUUAAAUUUUGUACAUUUUGAAUUUUUUUAUUUUCUAAAAAUGAUAUUAUUAAUUUUUAAGUUUGAAUAAUAUAUCUUUUUCUAUGUUUCAAAAAUAAUAUAUUGUUAUUUUUUUUAAAAUAAUUAUGUAGGAAAUUAAACAAAUAUUUGAUACUUCAAAUGCGAAGAUAUCAUAAUAAUCCAUACUUAAUUAAUAAUUCGGAAUGUAAUUAGUUGAACUCCAUAACAUAAUAUUACAUAAGUUAAAUCAAAUGAAUUAAAACUACUCCAAUUUUCAUCCAUAAUCACAAAAAAUGAAUUAAAUGAGUGAGAGAGUAGAAGUGUGUGAGAGAAUAAAAGAAAUAAUAGAGUAGAAUAUUGGGAUAUGUUUUAGUAAAAAGUGUUGUGUAUUUAUAUAGAAUUAUAAAAAAUAAUGCCGUUGGAAAUAAUAGUGCCGUUGGAAUGUUAAAUUCAAUGGGAAGAAAAUUGUGCCGUUGGAAUGUUAUAUUACCGUUGCCAUGGGAAGAAAAUUCAACGGAAUGUUAUAUGAUGCAUGUAAUCCGCAUGACACGGCUCCAAGGAGGGGUGUAAUGGGGAGCCAUUACACUCCCAUUGGAGAUGCUCUAAGCAAAGUUUCGCUAGAGCUAUACAAUCAGCGUACUCGGAAGUAUUUUGUAAAGUGUGUGUUACAAUAAAACUACAAUGCAUCUUCCGUCCCAUUUAUUGUCAUAUUUUUUAUUAUAUUAUUAUUAUUUUUUAUAAACAUCAUGUUUUUAAUUCUUUUUUUUUUUUUAAGAUUUAAUAACUAUUAAUUCAGUAAUACACAAAAUUUUGAUAAACUAAAAAAAUUAAAAUACAUAAAAAAUGAGAUUUUUUAUGAAUUUCUAUUGUAUUUUUUAAUUUUCUAUUAUAUAUUACUUUUUUAAACUAUUAUAUUUAUUUUUUACUGAAUUAAUAGUUAUUAGAUCUUAAAAAAAAUAAAAAAGAAUUAAAACAUGAUGUUUAUGAAGAAGAAAUAGUAAUAUAAUAAAAAAUGGGGCAGAGAAUAGCACAGGAUGUGAGACAGAAGAUCCGUUGCGAAAGAAAACCUCUGUAGAUAACAAAUGACAAGGCUCCAAAUAUACUAGUCCUUUUUUCGCAAGUACUCCUAAUGGGUUUGCUAAUACCUGUUGAUUUUUUUUUUUUUUUUUUUUUGUGGUCAAUGCUAAUACCUGUUGAUUAAGUGACGAUAGAUGUAUAUGAAACUUGGAAAAAGAGAAACCUUUCAGAUUACUAGAAAGAAAGAAAAGAAAGAACUUAGGAACCCCAAGUUCAAGACAAGUCAUGCUGGUAUUAGUAAUGAAAACCAUGCAUAGUUAAGUUUCAUGGUUAAUGUUCGCAGUCAAGAAAAUUUGAUUAAUCAAGAAUUUUGCUAACUUUUACUUCGGUUUUCAUCACAGGUACUAGUACCUUUUAAUUAAUACCAAGUAGAUUUUACACAUAUUUUUGAAAAAUAAAUGCCAUAUAAUAUAUUAUUAGAGUCAAUGGGGCAGGGGAAAAUCCGGGUUUAAAGAAAAAAUAAAAUAAAAUGAAAGCAACGGUGAAAUGCGUUAGUGCUUAUCCGCGGUCUGGGUGGAUCGAGCUCAUAACAUGAUUUUAAUGAUCAGGCUACGGGCCUUUCCAAAAUAAAGCAGACUAGUCUUGCAUCGGUGUGAAGCUCCCAAAACCACCACCACGCAGGCAACAACCAUCCAGUUCCAUGGAACACUCGACUAAGAGAGCUUUCCAAACAAGGCCACUACCAACAAAGCCUCACUGUCUAUCGCAAAAUGCUCCGUUCCGGGGCGCCCCAAAUGCUUUCACCUUCCCCUUCACACUCAAGUCCUGCGCCGCACUUCGAUUCCCAUCACCGGCACACAACUUCACUCUCACGUCACCAAGACCGGGUGCUUGUGUGAACCCUUUGUCCUACACGCGCAUUGAUUUCUAUGUAGCGCAAAAUGCCUUCUAAGUGAAGACGCUUAUAAGGUGUUCGACGAAAAUCCACUGUGUAAGAAGCUGACUGUCUGUUACAAUGCUUUGAUUGCUGGGUACGUUCAGAAUUCAAAUCUUUUAAAUGGGGUCUCGUUGUUUCGCGAGAUGAGGCGAAUGGGUGUCUCAGUUAAUGCAGUCACAAUGGUAGGAUUGGCCUCAGGGUGCACCAAUCCGCUGCAUAUGAGUUUGGGAAUGUCUCUACAUUGUUUGAGUUUGAAGAGCGGUUUUGGCAAUGACUUGGCUGCUGAGAAUUGUUUACUUUCAAUGUACGUCAAAUGUGAGUCAAUACAACUUGCUAGAAAGCUGUUUGAUGACAUUCCUGGAAGGGUUUGAUCACUUGGAAUGCAAUGAUAUCUGGAUAUGCACAAAAUGGGCUUGGUACCCAUGCUUUGGAUCUUUAUUAUGAGAUGGAAUCAUCAGGUAUAAGCCCCAAUGCUGUCACGUUUGUUGGGGUUUUAUCAUCUUGUGCUAACCUUGGCGCUCGGAGAAUUGGUCAGGAAGUUGAGCAAAAGAUAUGGAACUUGGGACUUGGAUUUAAUCUUUUUUUGAAGAAUGCACUGAUUAACAUGCAUGCUAGAUGUGGUAAUUUAGUCAGAGCUCGUGCCAUUUUUGAUGAAAUGCAUGAGAAAAGUUUAGUAUCUUGGACAGCUAUUAUUGGUGGUUAUGGCAUGCAUGGGCUGGGAGAUAUUGCCGUGGAGCUUUUUGAUGAGAUGAUUAGGACUGGCAUUCUGCCGAUGGACCAGUGUUUGUGACUGUGUUGUCUGCCUGUAGUCAUGCCGGAUUGACCAACAAGGGCCUGGGUUAUUUUGCUGCAAUGCAGAGGGAUUAUGGUGUCAAGCCUAGUAUAGAGCAUUACGCUUGUGUCGUGGAUCUUUUAGGUCGGGCAGGUCGACUCGAGGAUGCUCGUAAACUUAUUGACUCAAUGCCUGUGGAACCCGAUGGAGCUGUAUGGGGUGCCCUUCUUGGCGCUUGCAAGAUUCAUAAGAAUGUCGACUUAGCAGAAUUAGCUUUCCAUGAAGUUGUCAAACUUGAACCAACGAACAUUGGUUAUUAUGUGCUACUGUCUAACAUGUACACUGAGGCUGAGAAUCUUUCUGGUGUCUUGAGAAUCCGAUUGAUGAUGAGAGAACGGAAGCUUAAAAAAGAUCCGGGCUGUAGCUAUAUUGAGUUCAAAGGGAAGAUUCACCUCUUUGUGGCUGGGGAUAGAAGUCAUUCUCAGUCAGAUGAAAUACAUUCAAUGUUGAGCAAGUUACAAGAUCUUAUUAAGGAACUUGAUGUGACAAAAAAUAUAAUGAUGAGAAAUCGGAUAGGGAACUUUCAAGUGGUGUGGGAGUGCACAGUGAAAGGUUGGCAAUUGCAUUUGCAUUACUGAAUACUGAAAUCGGGGUUGACAUUCUUGUGAUAAAAAACUUGAGGAUGUGUGGUGACUGUCACUUGUUCAUUAAGAUGGUAAGCAAAUUGUGGACCGUCAGUUUGUGGUAAGGGAUGCUACUCGUUUCCAUCAUUUUAGAGGUGGAGCUUGUUCCUGUAAUGACUACUGGUAAGACCAGAAAUCGGAGUAAGAUGGCUUAUCAGAGGAGGACAUGAUUUCAUCACACCUAAAGGAAAAAGAGAAUUUUGCCUUGAGGUCAAAGAGAUUGAGCCUUAAGGUAAAAAAGAAUGAGCCCUCGGAUUGGCCUUGCUACUUUGAAGCACAAUGUGGCUGCAGAAGUUAUUUUCUGAAGAACUACGUUGAUGAAUUAGUUUAAGGAACAAGUUAUUUUGUGACUGCGAUUUUACGUGUUUUUGGAGCAUCCACCAAUGGCUGAUGUGGCAGUUGUUGAAGGUUUAUCAGGAGAUUUGGAUAAAUGCACAAUCGAAUAUGAUGCUUCUGCAUAGGGUGAUUGAUUGCAAAAAGUUUUAUUGGUAUGCCAUGUUGUAUCUGUGAUUCAUUAAAGGUACAUCAGGUUUCAAUGGUUGUACAUUGCAUAGUGCAGGAUUUUAUGUCAACCACAACAGAAGAACCACCUUUCUGGAGUUGAGAACAGGUUAACCACAGAAUGGAUACAAACAAGCUUGUUAGGUUUACGGUGUUGUUUUGCAACUUAAACUGAUGUGGAAAAUGAGGUUCUUUUACAGGGAAAUUCCAAAUAAAGAUGUUUACACCAUCAUGGUGAAGGCAAAAGAACUCAGAAUUUCUGAACCAUAAUAGAUUCCAUGAACAAUACAAUCACAAUAGACACAGAAAGAAGCUAAAGCAUUGCUAACCUUAAUUGCCUACAAGUCAAGAUUAUCUCCGUGGUUAGGAAAGAAUAUAGAUUGAUGGCUUUAAGCAUCACUGUUCCCAUCUUUUGAUGAAACUGGAAGUCCCUGGUAAAGGCGGGACUGGACUAAGUGUUGAUCCUUUCUAUCCAAAAAUUAAAUUGCUGUCACACAAUGUGGUGCAUAACAUCCACUCUGUCAAAUUACCACCAAAAUGAUAUCUCGCAUCAUCAAAAUGAGAAUCUCAACUUAGCCACUAAUAAUCACAACUGCUGCUGUUCCUGAAACGCAUUCAUCGUGAACGAAGGGAAUUGUCUUCCAUACUGUCAGUUUCGUAGGAGUAAUCUGUAUGCCUAAAAGGUGAAUUACACUUAAAUGGAUCAAUUCACUUUGCAUUUAUAACGAAUCAAAACUGUAGGAAGACAUUCGCACCUUGAAUGGAAGAAUCCUUUUUGGUACAAAUGGCAGCAUAAUGAGAACCAGCCAAAUCCAUAAGUACAAACUUCCAAUCACUUGUAAGGUCCAUGGAGUCAUCAAAAGAAUCCACCACUAUUUCAGAAGCCUAGAAGCAAAAUGUAAUUAGUGAAUGAAGCAAUACAUCUGACAAUGAGAGGACAUAUACAGUAAUUAGCUCAACAUAAUUCGUAACAAAUAAGUCCUAAAUCCUAGCUACAACCAGAGGCAUAGGAAAGUAGUUUUUAGUUGAGGUAUCAAGGAAUGGAGAACCUGAGGUACUCACAAUUAAGUUGCAGAUGUGUAUGAUAAAAGAUAAAAAUCAGGGAAUCACAUCUAGUUGAGCAUCUUCAGCUUUUCACCAGCCUCCCCUCAAAAUUCAUCCUUCUGUUAUUUAUUUUUUUUUCAGAAAAUGGAGCACAAACUGUCUAUUUUUUGUUUCUUAGAUUCAGAAGUAAACUUGAACCUCAAUAUUUCCUUCUUACCAAGUCAAAUGGUGGUGAUUAGCUUAAGUACCAUGCAAAAUAUUUACAGUGGUUCAAUCAACAGAAGGGAAGUGGUUUAAUGACUGGUUGAUGGAGUUGUGCAUGCCAUUGGCAUCAGAUGAGGGAGUUCCACAAUUUUUUUUAUUUAAUAUCAAUAAUGUCGUCAUGCAUGUGCAUAUUUCAGCUCAGCUCCUGUGGAAAUUAGAACGAGAGAAAAGUAAUGAUUUAACUCAUGGUACUAAAAAUGUGUGUUCCAGCCAUAGUUUGAUCUCUGUUCUCAAAGGCAAGACUUAUUAUCAGGCCAUGGUUACACAGACAGCAACUGGUUGGAUAACUUUAAUUGCAAAAUGUCACCAUCUGAAAAAGCAGUCUAAGGCUCUGGCUCUCCAUAAAAAAGUCCAAACGAUUUCAAUAUUUCUGGCAUACCUCAAAAUUGGAAUUUCCUGCAAAGCUUCCUUUAUUAGCAGACCUAAUUCGAAUUGUGAAAGUCUUGAAUGGUGCAUCUGAAAAGCCUCGUCCCAAUGCUUUGACAUAUGCUUCCUGGAAAAUAUUUGACCUUCAGAAAUAAGUAGGCACAAGCUUAUUUGAAUUUAUUUAAGCAACUGGGAAAAAAAGUACUUAUGUGCCCCAUAAAUCUCCAACUUCAAUCAAGUAGCAGCAGGUGGGAUAUGAAUCAUUAAUAUUCAAAAGUUCAAAACUAUCUGACCUUGAGAGUCCACAAUUUUAUAAACUCCUGCUGCUGAAGUUGGGGUCUGAAAAUAGCGGACAACACUUGAACUUCAUGUUUUGAAAAAUAUCGUGAGCAAAGGACAUGACAUUAUGCUUCAGUCUUCGAUUCUUCUUUUCCACAUCAAUACCAAUCUGAAGUGGCAAGUGAAUUCAAAUGAACUUAAACCAAAAACAACAGCAAAAGGAUGCAAAAUUUUAAAAACUCAGACAAGCACAAUCUAUUAAUUGAGACCGAGAAUCCUAACAGGAGAGUCGACUGUGACUCCGCAGGCUAUCAAAGACGAAGUGUGUGAGAUGUUGAAAUGCAGUGGCAGUGGACGCCAUUGUUCGCAGUGUUGCCAAUCCACCUAACAACAUAACAUUUUCCAGAAAGCUUUUAAUGGCAAUUCGACUUUAACAACAACACAUACACUGAAACUAGCACAGUGUACACUCACACAGAGAAGGAAUCAUAACAAACCUCUGGUUUCCCAUGUACGUUCUUAAUAAACUUCAACGAUCGUGGACUAACAUGAGAAUUUAUCUGAUCUAGUACAAAAACCAAAUCAUUCAAGCUAUAACAUAAAAUCUUUGCCACCUAAAUAUAAAACUAACAGAUAAAAAAAGAUGAAAAGAAAGAAUGUCCAGCUAAACAACAGAAAAAAAAAAUGAUCAAAGCUACGUACAUCUGGCAAUGGUAGUCCGAACCAAAGCACGAGCCAGCAGAGCUCUUUUUCUGAGCUCCUCGUCGCGCAUUUCGAAAACUAUUUCUUUCUCGCAUGGGGAUAGAAUUUCGCGUACUGAUUUAAUAAUGAUUGGGAUUGCACUUCGCUGGGUAUUAUAUACCAUAGAUGAGCCUCCCUGAACAACAAUCAUUUUAACAGGAUCAAAAAUUUUCAAGAUUCUAUCCAAUCUCGUACGACAUUAAUUUUGAAACAACAUCGAAAAAAAAUUAAUAAAAAGAGAGUUGAUGGAUCGUGCAUUGGAGAUGGGAGUUGAAUUCGAGGCAAAUUCGCAGAAGAAUUGAACAAUUGUUUGCCCAAGCACUGAAAUUUCAUUCUGGAGGUCGAUUUACGACGUAGAGAUGAUGCGAGGAAGUAUUUAAGUGAGAACUAUUGAGCAAUUCAUGAACAGUUCCCAAUUCGAACCCUAAUUAGAUCACACAGUAAGCAGAUGUAGCAGAAAAGGUUUUAUGCUUGGACGUCGUCGUUUCCUAGGCAGUAAUUCACCAUAGGAACGCGCUUGUCGUCGGGAAACCAAGAACGUUCCGGCCUUGCGAUCUUCUCCCAGGAUGGGCCUCAUGACAUUGGGCCAAUGAGAGCUGUUUCUGAGAUCAACUUAGGACUGCUGUUUUUGGGCUUUUUCUAGGUUGGCGGUAGAGAUUUUCGAUAUUUCUGAGAGUUGUAGCCCUGCAAUGGAAAUGGCCUUGGGCCUCUUUUUAUGGACCGGAAAAAUGAAACGAAGAUAUGUUACCGCUACUAUUGUCUAAAAGAUUGCUUCGUUUGCACGAAAUUUGUCAGGACAAAAAGGAAACAAAAAAAAAAUUGUUACUCAGAGAAGAAAUCUACAAAUUACUCCAUUAUCUUUUGAUAACCAAAAAGCAAACGUCAAAACACAAGCCCUGAAUAACGUCUCCCCUGUUGAGAAACAUCAAGUUUGCCAGAAUAUCCCAUUUUUAUACAUGAAUUUUAUCAGCAAAUAGAAUACAAGAGAUGAGGAGGGAGAAGAUGCAAACUCAAAGUUGAUCACUCACUAUACUUGCACUGGAAACAAUAAUGGAGAAAAUAAGUUACAUAACCAGCUGAUUUUCUCAAAGCCUGAACCUAAUGGGAGUACACAGAUUCAUUACAUGAACUGGAAAAGUUCGUUAGCGAU
rnacentral:lncRNA from 1 species